GAACAGCAGUGCCUUUAUUGGAGUUCCUGACAUGGAUCCAGUUUAUCUAAAUGGUUUUAACCUGGUAACGGAUGAUACAGGAUUGGUGUCUGCUACCUUCACGUAUUCAAAUGAUAGUGGUUUGUUGUACUUUGAAUUGAGUUCCUCAGGGUCUAUACUGCAGAAAGUUUUAUCAGAUAGAAAAGGGGAUUGGGAGGUUACAUGGUCAAGCCAAGGAAGUCAAUGUGAUGUCUAUGGCAUAUGUGGACCUUUUGGAAGCUGCAAACCCCAUGGUUCACCUAUUUGUACAUGUUUGCAAGGUUUUGAGCCUAGAGAUAAGGUGGAAUGGGAAGGAGGAAACUGGACUAGUGGUUGCACAAGAAGGGAAAUGCUGCAAUGUGAGAGAAAUAAUUCUGUUCGUUCUGAGGGCAAACAAGAUGGAUUCUUGAAGCUCCCAAACACUAAAGUUCCAGAUUUGGCUGAAUGGGUAGCAACUUCAGAAGACGAAUGUGGUACUCAGUGCUCAAAUAAUUGCUCCUGUUUAGCUUAUGCCUCUUAUCCGGGCAUUGGCUGUAUGCACUGGAAGGGAAGCUUAAUUGAUAUACAGCAGUUUGCCUCUUCUGACGGGGCAGAUUUAUACAUACGUGUGCCUUAUUCUGAACUUGGUAAGACACUUCUUAUUACAAUGUUUUAGUAACUCUGUACUCUUAAUGUAGCAUUUUACUUUCUGCUUCCGCAUUCAAAUAGGAUUUGAAUUCGAUCAAGGCUAUAUUUUGGAAUGUAACGAAGAUAUCAAAUCCCCUUCACUUCUUUUUACAUUUUUUCUAUAGAUUCUACAAGAAAGUCAAAAUGACAUAGAAUUGCAUUUGGCUAGUUCUUUCUCGAUAGUAGCUUUCUGAAGAUGCUUUGAAACUUUGACAUUUAUAGGCAAGAAAAGGGACAUGAAAGCAGUCAUUGCAACCUCAGUAAUUGGAGCAUCUUUAUUUAUUGCCGUCUCUCUAUAUUUUUGUUGGAAAUGGUGGACUAAGCACAAAGGUGAGAUUACUUACUUUAAUAUGCUCAAACUGUGCUUAAUUAAUUUCUCGUGUGUUGUGAUUUAUAUUCAUGCAUUCACCUACCACCUGCUCAUAAACAGGUAAAGACCAAGAUGAUCAGGUGUCUUCGUUUGAACCUGCGUAUAAUGUGGAAAACAUGGUCAGCAAAACUGGGGACGGAGCCAAGUUAGGAGAGCUACCUCUGUAUACUUAUGAAACACUAGCUAAAGCAACAGAUAACUUUGAACAAUGCAAUGAGCUGGGCAAAGGUGGUUUUGGUCAAGUCUACAAGGUAAUGUAAGCUCCUCAUGGUAUUCCACGCUGCUUCAAGAACUACAUGAGUUGUUUGCUAGGAUUGGAACUUAAUUAUCAUUGCAUCUGCAGGGAAAGCUGUUAGAUGGCCAGGAAAUUGCAGUGAAAAGGCUUUCCAACACUUCAGGCCAAGGCAUUGAGGAGUUUAUGAAUGAAGUUGUGGUCAUUUCUAAACUCCAGCACCGGAACCUUGUUAGACUCAUUGGCUGCUGUGCUGAAAGAGAAGAGAAAAUGCUAGUCUAUGAAUACAUGCCAAACAAAAGCCUGGACUUCCAUCUAUUUGGUUUGUUGAUGAACAUCGCAGCACUUUUUUUUUUUUUUUCUUCAGUUCCAAAAAACCAGGUUUUUCGACUAGCAGCACUAUAUGGCACAGGAAAUUUUCCGUAAUACCUUAUACUGAGUCAUAUUGAUCUACGUCAUUAUUGCUCUUUCAGAUUCUGAUAAGCCAAGUGUACUCGAUUGGAAAAAACGCGUCACCGUCGUUGAUGGGAUUGGCAGAGGCCUCCUUUACCUUCACAGAGAUUCAAGAUUAAAAAUCAUUCACAGAGAUCUAAAGGCAAGCAAUAUUCUAUUAGAUAAAGAGCUGAGACCCAAGAUAUCAGAUUUUGGCUUGGCAAGAAUUUUCAGAGGCAAUGAAGAUCAAGCCAAUACAAGGAGGGUUGUGGGUACAUAGUGAGUACAGUUCGCUCUCUUGUUUAAUUCAAUCAGUUCAUAAUAAAUCUAAACUGUUUUUCUUCCCCUUGUAGUCCUCAUAACUCAAACUACUUUUUACUCUUUUUGCCUAUAUAUAUGGUGAUGAACGUAAGUGGCUACAUUGCCCCGGAAUAUGCAAUGGAAGGCAUGUUUUCAGAAAAGUCAGAUGUCUACAGCUUUGGGGUGCUGCUAUUAGAGAUUGUGACAGGAAGGAGAAAUAGUAACUUCUAUUAUCACGAGAAUGAGCUGAGUCUACUUGGAUAUGUAAGAUAAUAUCUUCGACUAUGAAGAGUAUCAUAAGGGCAAAGUUCCUUAUCUCAUUCUUGCAUAAAGCAAAUUAAAUUCACAGUUUCAUUUUGCUUCCUCAGGCCUGGAAAUUGUGGAAUGAAAAAGAAGCAGUUAAACUGAUAGAUGCAGCUAUGUUUGUCCCGGGUAUCGAAAAAGAGGUCUUGAGAUACGUCCAUGCAGGGCUAUUGUGCGUGCAAGAAUUUGCAAAAGAUAGGCCAGAUAUCUCUGCUGUUCUAUCCAUGCUUAACAGUGAAAUUUCAAAUCUCCCUCUUCCCAAAUUACCGGCUUAUACAAGAAGAUUAGGAUCUUCAGAAAGUGAUUCUUCUUCGCAAAGGGUUGGUUCUAUUAACAAUGUCACUGUAACGAUUGUUGAAGGCCGAUAACAGAAUCCACUUCACAGUAUGCAGUACUAGUAAUGCAUUCAACAAGACGGAUGUAGCACAACAUCAGUUUGCUUUUGGAGGCAGGGACGGAGCCAGAAAUUUAUUUUUGGGGGGGCUGAAGUGUAUUAAAAAUUUUUUUUUUGUGACGAAAUAAAUAUAUUUAAUAAGUAAAAUCUAGAAUCAAUAAUUAUAAAAAUAAUAAAAACAUAUAAUUAUACAUACCCAAAAAUUUGUUAUUGAUUAACACUUGAAGUAUUGGUAGUUGUUGCACUCGAAUAACGAAGAGGAGGCAAUUGCAUUCUGCGAGUCUUCAUCCGUUGAAAACGUUGCAAUAUUUGCUCAUUUUCAAUUGUUGCAAAAAUAUCCUUCUCGAUGUAUACAACCAGACAGUCAUUCAUCCACUCGUCUCCCAUUUUGUUGCGCAAAUCAGUCUUGACAAUAUUCAUUGCAGAAAAUACUCUUUCAACAGAAGCAGUCGCAACUGGUAGAACUAAUGCCAACUGGAUCAGACGAUAAACAAAUGGAAAAACUGUAUUUUUACCAGUUUUAACCAUUUGUUGAGCAAGACUUCCCAAAUCUCCAACUUCUGAAAAUUGAGGAUCGCGUUGCACAUUAUAAAUAUAAUUUCGAAGUUGAGACUCAAGAUAUAAAUAAUCGUUACUUGAGAAGUCUUCAGGAUAUAAAUCAGCAAGACGGAGUAGUUUCUGCACAUUGAAUUGAGAGAAAGAACUUUUUGGAUCAAGACAUGCUAUGCAACUAAGCAAUUCCGUGCUAACUUCCGAGAAACGAUUAUUCAUCUCUUGUAUAAUUAAAUCAACAACCUGACAUCACAACAAUAAUAAAAUUAAUAACUAAGAAAAUCUGCUAACAAGUAACAAAUGUAAUGAAAUAAUAAUUUCAAAAAUAAUACCUCACAAAAAAUUUCCACGCGAUAAUGAUGAAAAUUAGUGAUGGUUUGACCUCUGCGACUGCGCCUGGCAUUGCCACGGAUUGCUAUACUGUCUUCCAUAUCAAUCACGGGAAUCAUAUUCAACUCACAAAAAUUGUUGACUUCAUCUAAAAUUAUUUGCCAUCCCUCUUCCCUAAAGUCUUGCAAUUGAGAUUUCAUAGUAUCAAUCAAACUCAUGGCUUGGACAAUAUUUUGAUCCCUUUGUUGCAAAACAAGUGACAAGUCAUUUGUGAUUCCCAAUAAAUACUUCAUCAGGUGCAAUGCAAAAACAAACUCAUAAUCAUUCAUUCUAUCAAUCAAACCCCUGGCCAUACCUCUAUUGUCAGAAGUGGAGGCAUCAUCUUGUAUAUUUCCCAAUAUUCCAAUCACCGAAGCCCACAUAGAGGAUAGACGAAGUAAUGUUAGAUAGUGUGAUCCCCAACGAGUAUCCCCUGGUCUUGCUAAACUAGUUUCUUGAUUUUUGCCUUUUCCACUAAUAAUAUCUCCACUGUCUAAAAGUGUAACAAUCUUAUCAUGUUCUAUUUGUCUUAAUUGAUCUCUCCUUUUACAUGAUACUCCAGUUAAAUUGACAAUCAUAGAGACAUAGACAAAGAAUUCACUGACAAUGAUAUUUCCCUUAGCAACAGCAACAAUAACUAACUGGAGUUGGUGAGCAAAACAGUGAAUAUACAUCGCAUAGGGAUUUUCUUGUAAUAUAAGGGCCUUCAAACCAUUGAACUCACCUCGCAUAUUUGAAGCUCCAUCAUAUCCUUGACCUCUCAAUUUGGAUAAUGAUAAUCCGUGUUGCGCGAAUAAAGAAUCAAUUGCAUCUUUCAAACAAAGAGAUGUGGUGUCAGACACAUGUACAAUUGCAAGGAAACGUUCAAUCACACGCCCUUCUUUGUUCACAUAUCUCAAAAUAACUCCCAUUUGCUCUUUCACUGAACUGUCUCGAGACUCAUCAACUAUUAGGGAAAAAUAAUUGUCUCCAAUAUCAUUGAUUAUAACACUUGUGAUCUCUGAGGCACAAGCAUGUGCCAGCUCUUUUUGAAUCAUUGGAGAAGUUAGUUGAUUAUUUGCAGGAGCAUUUUGAUUUACAACCUCAAAAAUCUCAGUAUUUCGCUGGCUAUACCACUCAAACAAUUCAAGAAAAUUGCCUCUAUUUGAAGAACUAGUUGACUCAUCAUUUCCACGAAAAGCCAAUCCUUGCUUCAAAAGAAAGCGGGUCACAUCCAGAGCAGCAGUUAAACGGGUGCGAUAUGCAAUAUCUAUUUCGCGCCCACAAGAUCGUAGCACAUUUGACACACUAUGCCUUUGAUCUUGAAAACUUUCAAACUGUAUUCUAGCAUCAUUAUGGCAACUAUUCACAGCUCCAAUAUGUUCAUUAAAUCUUUCCAUUGCCUUUUUCCAAUUAUUGAAUCCCGUUUUUGUAAAGGCAUCCUCUGCAUAUCGACCUCCCUUAUUUUGUGUUUUGAAAAGAAAGCACCAAAAGCAAAACGCCGCAUCUUUCGAUAUGCUAUACUCUAACCAUACAAACUUUUGAUACCAACUAUCUUGGAAACUUCUAUGUUGUUUACCAAAUGAUGUUUUUGGAUACAUAUGGCCAAUCGGUUGGCAAGGUCCCCUAGUCAAAUACUCUCUUCGGACAUGGUCUCGAAGAGAAAUAUCAAAUUUCUCAACUGAUUUUCGUAAUCCCGGAUCACUAACAAUAUCAUUUAAAUUCAAUUCCACACAAGAUUGAUUUUGAACUGGUUCACUAAUAUUAGGCUCAUUUGAAGAUUCACCACUACGGACUCGUUUAGGUUUAAAGAAUCUCUCCAUUUUCUGUCACAAUUAAAUAAUUGUGGUUAAAUUCAAUAAAAUUAUGCAAUUCAAUAAUCAAUUAAUUUAAAAUUCAUAUAAAUAAUUCUUUAAUUUAAUAAUAAAUUCAUAUUACUUAUAUUUCUCAAUUUAUAAAAUUCAUUAUAUAAAAUUAUCAAAAAGUUAAAAUAAGGUACAACUAAAUACCCAUAUAAUUUCUAAUUCAAUCUCAUAAAAUUUUGAAUUUAUAUUUACAUUCAAAAUUUCUAAUUCACAUAAUUAAUUCUUAAAAUUUCAAAUAUAAAACUAACAAAAUUUUAAAAACUAAAUACAACCUAAAAUCUAUACAAUUUCUAAACUAAUUUCUAAUUUAAAUUUAAUAUCAUUAAAUUUUUUAAUGUAAUCUUUCAAAUUCUUAAAUUACAUUAACAUAAACUAAAUAAAAAUUAAUCUUAAUCAAAUUAAUAUCAAGAUACUCAAAAUUCAAAAAUAAUUUAAACAUAUAAUUAACAAAAAUAUAAAGAUGAAUAUUGUAAUUUAAACCAAAAAACUAACCUAAAAGAUUUAUGUGAAUGGAAUGGUGGAGAGUUGGAGUCUUGGAGCCUUGAAUUGAAGGCUUGAAGCAGGAUGGUAGAAUCUCAACUGAAGCUUCUUGGAGUUCUUGGAGCCUGGCGUGAGUGGCGUCUUCUUCUUGGAGUUGGAGACUUGGAGUCUUCGUGAGUGGCUUCGGUGUUUGCCCUUUGGCCUUUGGCAUUGGCGGCGUGCUUUUGCAUCAGAUGAAGCUUUAGGGCUUCAUCUGAUGUAUUUUUUUUUCCCCUCAUUAUACAAAACGACGUCGUUCCACUAAAAGUGAAACGACGUCGUUUUGUAUUUAGAGGGCUAAAAAAAAAUUCAACAUAAAUUGGGUCAUCUUCUUCCUCGGACCUCAGCAGUCAGCAGACUCAGCAGUCAGCACGGCAGGCUGGCAGCGGCUUUCCAGGCCCAGCACUUCUUCACUUCCUCUGCAGCAUUCAUGGAGGCAUGGAGCCAUGGAGGAUGGUAGAUCUGGAUCACCGUGGGGGGACUGGGCUGGGCUGGGCUGGCCGCCGGAAUCCCCUAUAUGGCUAUAUAUAGGGGAUUUUCCGGCGGCUUGGGGGGGGCUUAAGCCCCCACCAGCCCCCCCUUAAAUCCGUGCCUGUUUGGAGGUAUCAGCAUAUAAUCAACUGCUUGGUUAUGUUUAUGCAUCUCAGUCUGACCAUAUAUUUGACAGCUUACUGGGUAUAAAGUAUAUAAAUAACUGUUUACUUGCUAUCAUGGACAGUUUUAGCAAUAGUCUCUCCUAUGAAUACUUUCUUCUAGUCUCUGUUUCUUAGGCUGACUUUAUGCAUCUCAAAUUAUUUUCCCAGAGAUAAGAGCAGAUUUCAACGCACAAUUUGGAUUAUUUGCAGAAAACCAUUAGUUUCUAGAUGACGUAUUUGGAUGUCAAUGCCUUACCCAUGGUUCUAGAUUGAAUUUUUAGUACUUUUCCUAGUCGACAGAUAACUCAAUUUUAGGAAAUUUUUAUGUUCAUAUUUCUUUAUCUAUAUACGAAUUUUCAUGCAUGACUUUUGACCAUGUAUCACUUAGAACCACUAAGCUUGAAUAUGGAAUCCAAUAAUGCUAAUUACUUGAGAGUUCACCUUUUCUUAUUUGCUUUGUUUGAAAGAAUCUAAAGUGUUACUGGCUUGUAGGUAUUUCAAUUCGUUGAUGUACAGAAGACUGGUAAAAUAACAUUAAACAAGUAACCACUUUUAAAUUUGAUUAUCUAUUUAUCAAUGUCCUAUUUUCCUUUGAUACACAUAAAUGGAGUCUUAAAAAUACUAGUGCACUAAAAUCGUAAGCUUAAACUGAUUGACCAUGUUGUAAAUUGAAGAUCAUCUUGGUGCUAUGGUCAAACUGAUUACUCGCUUUAGGGAUCAUUGGCUUUUGUUAUGGAAAGUUCAUGUUCGGGAUGUAAUUCCUUUUUUGAAUGUGUUUCAUUUUGCAGGUUAGGAUAUCAUUUCUUGGCUCUUAGAACGUUUUCUGAUCACUUGAGCCAUUCUCUAUGAAGUUGAGAUGGUACUACCUAUUUGUAUUUGUGGUAUUGUAAUUUUGAUGAAUAUUAGAGUAUACUGCGAGACUCGAUUAGUAUGUUAACUAAUGGAAGGCUUCAUUCAUUAAUACUCGCAGGAGUAGCUAGUUAAUUUGCUAUAAAUGAAUUUAUGUCUUUUUCUUAUUUCUUGAUGGACGUCAACUUAAGAGGCUUGUGAAUGGAUUUCUUUUAAGUUUUGGCCUUCCAAAAAAAAAAAAGAAAAGAAAUAAAAAUAGAAAGAAAAGAGAAAAAAGAAAAAAAAAAGAAAAAAGAAGAUGUUUUUGUGACUCGCAAGUCCGCUAGUCACAAGGCUACUGGGGUCUAAUUUAACUAGUGGGUCCCAAUAGCACUUGUGAUCAGCAAAACAUGACACAAAAGAUCUUUUGUGACUAUUAUUUGUAUGUCACAAAUAAAUCCUAGUUUUUUUGAUUUUUUAUUACAUUCAAAAUACAAGUCAUAAAAGGUAUUCUUACAAGUCACAAUUGAUAAUGUGACUUUCAUAUACAAGUCAUAAAAAAUUUUGUGACUAUUAAAUCCGUGACUUUCAUAUACAUGUCACAAUGUGGUUACAAAAAGAUUUUGUGACUGUUUCGACCCUUUUUUUGACUAUUAUUGACGAGUCACAAUUUCUAGUAGUGAAACAUGUUUUGCAGGAUUAAUAAAGUCUUCAUUGUCUAGGAUGCUAAUGGCUAGAAUGUUGAACUGUUUGGACUUCAGUAAAUUUUGUGAAGUUUUGAUUGUGGGCAUAACAUUGGCUAAGAAAUUAUGAUGAACAAAAUUAAUCAAUUGUGAGCCGCACAAAAUGUUGAUUACAUAAAAAAGAAAUCAAACAUUUACUAUGCAUUGUAUAAUUACAAAAACUCAGAGAUUACAGAAACUCAAAGAUGGAAGGUUACAGAAAUUUUCUAUGAUGUGUCUAGCCAGUGCAUAAAACCAACAAAAAAUAAAUUAACAUUUUGUCUUGUUAUUAGCUAUCUAUGAUCUUUUGUCUAGUCAUUAACUGGUAUUUUCUUCUAAACCAAUAUAUAUGAUAUACGUAGUUAACUUCAGUUAUCAUUAAAUAAAAAAGGGACACCACAAUAAUUGAAGAUAAUUUUAACAUAUAAUGAUUUGAGAUAAGAGCAAGGGUUAGUGAAUAUAUUUUUUAUAUUGGCAGUUUUAAUUCUAAUCACAUUUAUUAUUGAUAUGUAAUCAAUUGGAAUUUUUUUUUCUUGGUUAGUGUCACAACUGAAAUGAGAUGCGUUUAACGCUAAUUAAAAGGCAUGAUGGUAGCUUAGGCAUAACUGGACAUAAUAUGUGUGACGACCCCACCUCCCCCUAAGGCGUACCAAAGGAUUCGGCGGACUGCCUGCCAAACUCUCGCCAGGACUCACUCACAAGCUCACGCGAAUCACGUACAUACGCAUCCAUGAACCAUAAAUAACAUCCACGAUUCAAGCUUAUAAUAUACAUGGAUAGGAAACAUGGUACAAAGUCUCGAUAUACUCAAACUAGUUCAAAGCGUAUACAAUCCAAGUACAAAACAAUCCAUUCGAGGAAUAGCGCGAGUACAAGUCAAAAUUCAAAACAAAAUCAAGAGCAACUAGACUACGCUAGCCUUUAUACGUCUCACGCUUCACUCGUACCCCUGUAAGGAAAACAAACUAACGGGGUGAGCCAAAACUCAGUGAAGUUCCCAAAUAUCAAAUUGGUCAACAAAUCAAGUGAUAACAAAGUAAUAGUGAAAUAGCGAGCAAACAAGUCAAAUCAGGAAAAUAGUACUUCAGCUAGCCAAGUAAUAUCAGGUUCACAUUCACAUGUAAGGAUACAGUAACCCAUAUCACGGCUCCAUUCCAGCUUGGUCAAGUGGUAGUUGACACUCCGCCAACUUUCAAGUCAUAACAAGUCCAAAAUAAAACUCCACUACACGCCAAUCUCCGUCCACCAAUCAACCCCCUUUUCCGGGCCCGCACGCCACACGAAACACGGGUGGUAAUACUCGAGUAUAUCGUUUAGUCGAGGAGAUAACACUCCACUCGACAUUACAAGUGACCCAGGGUUUGUUAUCUAAUCGACUAGGCCCUUGCCGGCUCGACUCGAUUAACUAGCCACAGGGUUUCUGGAAUUCCAGGCAAGACAUAUCUCAAGUACAUGUAGAGCAAGUCAAGUGUAAUCAAUAGCAAGAACAAGUCAUAUUGGGGCAAGUGCAGUAAAGUACACCCUUGCCCUAUCAUUCAUUUUCAUGUAAUCAUAAAAUUCAAGUAAGGAACACAUGCAUCAAGUACAAUCGGAUAUUUGGAAGCACUCACCAAAAUAUAGUGCUUCAAGUAUUCACGUUCACUUAUACUCCAGGCUUGGAGUCCAGAUCUGCGAUAAAAAUCCAAUUUGAGAACUUUGAAACACGAGUAAGAUUCGAAACUUAAACGUUCCGUUCAUUAAGAAUCGUCCAAUUGAAAUUCAUUUGAAAGACAUUCGUGAAACACUUGCUCGCUUUUCAAAUCGUAAGGUUUUUGUAACAUAUAUACUUGGAAACAACACUUGAGUUGAAAGUACAAGGAAAUACAAGUUUAUAUUGGCCAUUAUGUCUUUUCCUCAAGGGUAUAAGUUCGGCUAGGUUUUAACGUAUAACCCUCGAACCAAGAUAGCCAAAAUCCUAGGUGGUUCAAGUACUAUUCAUCUUAACUUGACCCAAGUCACAAGUGUAUUUCUAUAGCCCUCGAGCGUAAAUUUGGGCAGCAUGCCCUUUGUGUUUACCUAAUUUCCAGCCAUUUAUGGCUUCAUUCUUACUCAAUCCAACCUAACAUUGUACACAAAACAAGUCCAGAACACAAAUUCAGUUCAAUAGCCAUUCCAUAGGCUCACAACAACACAAGAGCAAAGAUUAAGCUAAUAUCAGGUGCGGAAAUGAAACUUAUCAAAAGACAGUUUUGACGGGUUUUGCGGAAAUAACACAUCCGAGGCUACGUUUAUCGGAUUGAUACGUAGCUUAUACCAUUUCGAAGCUAAGACGAAAGCCUACAACUUUCAUGAAGAGCACUCAGUCAAAGUUUCAAUGUAACCUGAUCAAAUUCCCAACUCACGUAACCUGGUUUCAACUAUUCGGCUAAUCAACUGCACUGCACUCAAAUGACCAUAACUCAGUCUACCGAGGUCCGUUUAAGACGUUCUUGGCAGCGUUACAAAGAUAAGACAGGGCACUAAAACUUUCAUGUUUUAACAAAUGACUAAAUCCGAACUAAUUACAGUGAAUAAACUCAAUCAAAAGGACUGAACUGUCCACGCGGAACUCUGGAAAGGGACCUAGAUCAACGAGGGUAUUUUCAUCUUUUCACAAGCUACGUUGCUCCGAUUGAACUGAAAUUUUGUAGAUAGCUAUAAAAUACCAUUCCCUACAACUUUCAUGUUUUGAUCUAUGGCCAAUUCAGCCUCUAACAUGGAGCAACAAAAACGGGCAGAAAAGGGGAAAAUUUUCUAGAAAUCUGGAAUUUGUUGAUCUUCAAUGAAACUUUCUCAAAUUUCUUAUUCCAAUCACUACCAAAGCCCCUUAUAUAAUCUUAUAUACAACAUAUAUUAAUCAUACUUCCAAUUUGGCAGCAAUUUCCCAAAUCCUAACUCAUGUGUCCACAAAGAAAACAACCCCCAAAACAUGCUAACAACCGUUAUUCAGCACAAACUUGAGUUGCUAAGCUAAUUUACACAAGAUUUAAAAGAUCAAGGACCAUGAUCAGAUUUAAUACCUCAAAGACAAGCUUGGAUGAGUGAUAAUCCACCUCCUUUAAAAAUUUCUGGUUCCUCUAGCUUCCCCUACUCACAAUUAGCACUUUAAUCGGUUUGGAAUCGAUUUUCUCACUUGGUUUGGCUAAGAUUCAAGAAGAAAGAAGUUGUUUUCUUGCUCUCACUUUCUCUCUCUCUCUUUGGUCGGCUCUUCAGCAGAAAAAUGAAGAGAAAAGGUGCAAUUUAGGGGAUAAGAAGGAAGACUAAUGUCUUGGUCAAGAAACCCUUAGGUAGCGACACUUGGCGCCACCACCUCCUCUCAUUUUUUCUCUUUCUUUUUCUUGCUAUUUUGAGCCCUAAAUUUCGGUCAAGAUAGCUGGCAAAUGGAAGAUAUUUUGCUCAAGUAUUAAUGGGGUUGUAUGGUAAGAAAGUGGUGGUCAAGUGAUACGUUCAAUCGGUAGUGCGCGGGACCCGCCGGUUCGCGCCGUUUUUCUUAAAAACACACAUACUAGGGUUUUUACUUCCUAUUCACCAACCUUAUCUCAUUGCUCCUAAUCACAUAUUAUUUCUCACUUAAAAGUCACUUUUAAUCACCAAAUUUGAUCCUUGCUCCAUACCGAAAAUUCAUCCGGUGGAAAAAAAAUCACGAAAACCCUAAUUUGCCCCAAUUUUGGAAACGAAGAGUGAAACCCUACUUUCUAGGUUCAUCUGCACUUAUUGUUGAACAAUUGGGUAGCAGGGCUUUAAUAAAUAAUAAUUUUCUAAUAAAAGGCAUUUUUUUUUGAGAAAAAUAUAAGAAAUUUGCGGGUACUCACACUCUCUCCCCCUUAAAAGAAUUUCGACCUCGAAAUUCAUAGAUGCACUUCGAAUAAUGUAGGAUAUUUUCCUUAUAUAUUCGUUUCCAGCUCUCAAGUUUCACUAUGGUCAACACUUGGUUAAACAAUAGAAAUCACGAAUCGUACCUUCUACUAUCUCCAAUGGUUCAGGUAAUGCCUGUUGGUCCAAGGCGUACACUCUAACUGGCACUCUCGGAUUAGUCCCUCCUACAUUUGCUUGUUCAGGGUUUGGGCGUGAUCUACGGGGACAGGUUGCAAGCUGGUGUUCGGUGCCACCACACCAUAAACAUUUUCCCGCCUUUCGCCAACAAUCACUCUCCACAUGAUUGGCCUUCCCACAGCACCCGCAAGAUGCUUGAGGGGCUGAGGUCUGACCUCCUUGUGAGGCACCUCUUGCUUGGCCCCAGCCACGCGAAACUCCUCUUGGAGUACUUUCUUUAGAUAUCUCUGAAAUUUUCUCACUACCAUCUCCUCGGCCUAUCUUAGAAGGUGGCAUAUCUAAAUCACCUUGUCCUUGCCUUUGACUCCAACCAGGCGCACCUCUCCUUUUUGCAUGAAAAGCUCUCACUUGUGCCCUAACAGUCUCUAUCCUUAGGGCCUUCUCUAGAACCUCCGUGAAUGUAUUAAUUUGGACUGCCGCUAAGGCUUCUUGUAACUCCACAUUCAGCCCUUGCACAAAUCUCCGUACUUUUCUCUGCUCCGUAGCUAUCAGUUCGGGAGCAAAUUUAGACAACUUUGUAAACUGAGUCUCAUACUCAGUUACACUCAUCAUUCCCUGAUGGAGUUUAAUGAAAUCGUCCUCUCGCUUCUCUUGGACGAUAGGAGGAAGAUAUUUCUCGUUGAAAUCUCGUACAAAGUUUAGCCAAGUCCAUGCAGUUCUCUCUCUCUCCCACUUGGCCCUCACUACAUUCCACCAGGCCCUAGCUGGCCCCUCAAAUUGAAAAACAGCGAAUUGGACUUGUCUCUCCUCUGUAUAGUUCAGGGCAGCAAAAAUAUUUACCAUGGCCUCCAGCCAUUUCUCAGCCUCAUACGGGUCUGGCCCUCCUAAAAACUUGGGUGGGGAGAACUUUUGGAAUCUCUCCAAGACUCUAUCCUGCCCCAUAUCGGGGUCCCUAGGUUGAUUUACAGGGGCUUGACCCUGUUAUUCCACCAACCGAGCUAAAAUGUUAGUCAUCUGUUGGAUGGCAGUUGCCACCUGAUCUCCUCCUGCAGCUUGGGGUUCAGGCUGUGGCUCAACCGUUGCCUCCCUCUCCUCUCUCGGUUUUGGCACCGGUUAUUGUGCUUGCUCACCCUCAUGGCCUCGCCUAGAGCCGCGUUCUCGGUUAGCUUUCUUGGUCCGACUUCUUUUAUCUUCCAUGUUUCGCAGCUAAUAAACUAGAACAAUAUAACCAACUAAUCAAUAAUAGAAUAUAGCCACUAAUUAACUAUAUAAAUAUAAAUAGCAUAAAACAGAGUAAUGCAAAUCAUAAACCACUCUAAAUCAUAGAGCAAGGCAAAAUAACAUAUUCAAUCAAAACGAGUCACAUAACUUAUAGAGCAUUAACCCUACGUAUCGCUCAGGUACUACACUUAAUCAAGACUCGAAACACGUGGAUAAGAAGGAUCCCAAAUCCCAUGAAUAUCUUCAAUAUAUUUCAAGUCCAUAAUAUUCACAUUCCCCGUGCCUUUGCUUUCGCAAUCCAAACUUAUCUCAAUAUUACGCGAGAUCUCAACUUAUCGUAAAGGUAUCACUCUUUGGUAUUCGGGGACAAGAAUCCGAAAAUAUGAUAAUUCACCACUCAAUCUGGCCAGGCUCAAGAGCAAAUCACCCGUAUUAGAGAUUUCUACCCAACAUAUAUGUCUAAGGUCCCCAACAAUAAACAAUUGUUUCACACUUAAUAAGCCAAUCCCCACAGUCCGAGAACCUUCUCCCGGCACGAGCUCAAUAGGAGCUCUGAUACCACCUGUGACGAUCCCACCUACCCCUAAGACGUACCAAAGGGUUCGGCGGACCGUCUGCCCAACUCUUGCCAGGACUCACUCACAAGCUCACGCGAAUCACGUACAUACGCAUCCAUGAACCAUAAAUAACAUCCACGAUUCAAGCUUAUAAUAUACAUGGAUAGGAAACAGGAUACAAAGUCUCGAUAUACUCAAACUAGUUCAAAGCGUAUACAAUCCAAGUACAAAACAAUCCAUUCGAGGAAUGGCGCGAGUACAAGUCAAAAUUCAAAACAAAAUCAAGAGCAACUAGACUACGCUAGCCUUUAUACGUCUCACGCUUCACUCGUACCCCUGUAAGGAAAACAAACUAACGGGGUGAGCCAAAACUCAGUGAAGUUCCCAAAUAUCAAAUUGGUCAACAAAUCAAGUGAUAACAAAGUAAUAGUGAAAUAGCGAGCAAACAAGUCAAAUCAGGAAAAUAGUACUUCAGCUAGCCAAGUAAUAUCAGGUUCACAUUCACAUGUAAGGAUACAGUAACCCAUAUCACGGCUCCAUUCCAGCUUGGUCAAGUGGUAGUUGACACUCCGCCAACUUUCAAGUCAUAACAAGUCCAAAAUAAAACUCCACUACACGUCAAUCUCUGUCCACCAAUCAACCCCCUUUUCCGGGCCCGCACGCCACACGAAACACGGGUGGUAAUACUCGAGUAUACCGUUUAGUCGAGAAGAUAACACUCCACUCGACAUUACAAGUGACCCAGGGUUUGUUAUCUAAUCGACCAGGCCCUUGCCGGCUCGACUCGAUUAACUAGCCACAGGGUUUCUGGAAUUCCAGACAAGACAUAUCUCAAGUACAUGUAGAGCAAGUCAAGUGUAAUCAAUAGCAAGAACAAGUCAUAUUGGGACAAGUGCGGUAAAGUACACCCUUGCCCUAUCAUUCAUUUUCAUGUAAUCAUACAAUUCAAGUAAGGAACACAUGUAUCAAGUACAAUCGGAUAUUUGGAAGCACUCACCAAAAUAUAGUGCUUCAAGUAUUCACGUUCACUUAUACUCCAGACUUGGAGUCCAGAUCUGCGAUAAAAAUCCAAUUUGAGAACUUUGAAACACGAGUAAGAUUCGAAACUUAAACGUUCCGUUCAUUAAGAAUCGUCCAAUUGAAAUUCAUUUGAAAGACAUUCGUGAAACACUUGCUCGCUUUUCAAAUCGUAAGGUUUUUGUAACAUAUAUACUUGGAAACAACACUUGAGUUGAAAGUACAAGGAAAUACAAGUUUAUAUUGACCAUUAUGUCUUUUCCUCAAGGGUAUAAGUUCGGCUAGGUUUUAACGUAUAACCCUCGAACCAAGAUAGCCAAAGUCCUAGGUGGUUCAAGUACUAUUCAUCUUAACUUGACCCAAGUCGCAAGUGUAUUUCUAUAGCCCUCGAGCGUAAAUUUGGGCAGCAUGCCCUUUGUGUUUACCUAAUUUCCAACCAUUUAUGGCUUCAUUCUUACUCAAUCCAACCCAACAUUGUACACAAAACAAGUCCAGAACACAAAUUCAGUUCAAUAGCCAUUCCAUAGGCUCACAACAACACAAGAGCAAAGAUUAAGCUAAUAUCAGGUGCGGAAAUGAAACUUAUCAAAAGACAGUUUUGACGGGUUUUACGGAAAUAACACAUCCGAGGCUACGUUUAUCGGAUUGAUACGUAACUUAUACCAUUUCGAAGCUAAGACGAAAGCCUACAACUUUCAUGAAGAGCACUCAGUCAAAGUUUCAAUGUAACCUGAUCAAAUUCCCAACUCACGUAACCUGGUUUCAACUAUUCGGCUAAUCAACUGCACUGCACUCAAAUGACCAUAACUCAGUCUACCGAGGUCCGUUUAAGACGUUCUUGGCAGCAUUACAAAGAUAAGACAGGGCACUAAAACUUUCAUGUUUUAACAAAUGACUAAAUCCGAACGGAUUAUAGUGAAUAAACUCAAUCAAAAGGACUGAACUGUCCACGCGGAACUCUGGAAAGUGACCUAGAUCAGCGAGGGUAUUUUCAUCUUUUCACAAGCUACGUUGCUCCGAUUGAGCUGAAAUUUUGUAGAUAGCUAUAAAAUACCAUUCCCUACAACUUUCAUGUUUUGAUCUAUGGCCAAUUCAGCCUCUAACAUGGAGCAACAAAAACGGGCAGAAAAGGGGAAAAUUUUCUAGAAAUCUGGAAUUUGUUGAUCUUCAAUGAAACUUUCUCAAAUUUCUUAUUCCAAUCACUACCAAAGCCCCUUAUAUAAUCUUAUAUACAACAUAUAUUAAUCAUACUUCCAAUUUGGCAGCAAUUCCCCAAAUCCUAACUCAUGUGUCCACAAAGAAAACAACCCCCAAAACAUGCUAACAACCGUUAUUCAGCACAAACUUGAGUUGCUAAGCUAAUUUACACAAGAUUUAAAAGAUCAAGGACCAUGAUCAGAUUUAAUACCUCAAAGACAAGUUUGGAUGAGUUAUAAUCCACCUCCUUUGAAAAUUUCUGGUUCCUCUAGCUUCCCCUACUCACAAUUAGCACUUUAAUCGGUUUGGAAUCGAUUUUCUCACUUGGUUUGGCUAAGAUUCAAGAAGAAAGAAGUUGUUUUCUUGCUCUCACUUUCUCUCUCUCUCUUUGGUCGGCUCUUCAGCAGAAAAAUGAAGAGAAAAGGUGCAAUUUAGGGGAUAAGAAGGAAGACUAAUGUCUUGGUCAAGAAACCCUUAGGUAGCGACACUUGGUGCCACCACCUCCUCUCAUUUUUCUCUUUCUUUUUCUUGCUAUUUUGAGCCCUAAAUUUCGGUCAAGAUAGCUGGCAAAUGGAAGAUAUUUUGCUCAAGUAUUAAUGGGGUUGUAUGGUAAGAAAGUGGUGGUCAAGUGAUGCGUUCAAUCGAUAGUGCGCGGGACCCGCCGGUUCGUGCCGUUUUUCUUAAAAACACACAUACAUACUAGGGUUUUUACUUCCUAUUCACCAACCUUAUCUCAUUGCUCCUAAUCACAUAUUAUUUCUCAUUUAAAAGUCACUUUUAAUCACCAAAUUUGAUCCUUGCUCCAUACCGAAAAUUCAUCCGGCGGAAAAAAUAUCACGAAAACCCUAAUUUGCCCCAAUCUUGGAAACGAAGAGUGAAACCCUAUUUUCUAGAUUCAUCUGCACUUAUUGUUGAACAAUUGGGUAGCAGGGCUUUAAUAAAUAAUAAUUUUCUAAUAAAAGGCAUUUUUUUUUGAGAAAAAUAUAAGAAAUUUGCGGGUCCUCACAAUAUGUAACUUCAAUCAUCAAUUAUAAUAGACUAAUUAGAAUACCAGAAAUUAAAACCGCAAAAUGUUUACACUCAGAAGUGCUAAAACUCAUGUUACUUUUAUAAUAGUAAAAUGAUAAAAUUAGAGGGUUGGCUUUAAUAUGAUCAUGUUACUGAUCCUUACGAACUUAUAAUUGAAUCGGAUCUUAUUUUAGAUCCAAACUCUGUGUAAUUCUGUAACACGAGCUCCCCGCCCACGUAAAAAAAUUGCUUUUUAAAAUAGCACUAUUAAAAAGCAUGCGUUAAAUUUAAAAUGAUGAUUCUUAUUUUAAAACAUUAAUAAAGUAAAAACAUGAUAUUAGCAAUGGAAUUAAAUAAACAUAAUUUUCAAUCGAGAACUGAAGAAUAAUAAGAUAUCCAACCCGGCUGAUAAUCGGCUCAUUGGUUUGCUAACUGGUCCGAAUCUGCUCAUUGGUUUACAUCACAAAGAUAGAUGGAGUAGUUACAUAGUACAAUUGCAACGCGAUCAUUGGAAUACUUAAUUUUAAGUGGUAUACUAAAGUUAAUGAAAAAGAAGAAGAGAAAGAUAUAAAACAUUCGUUCAUUCCUCAAUCUUCGAGAUCAAUCUCUUUUUUAUACUGGGAUUUAAAAGUGGAUGUUCAAUGACAAAGGAGCAAAUUACACUUUAUCUCCUGUGGUAUAACUAAUUUUUACAUAACCCCAUAUAGUUUUAAAAAUUAUAUAUAAUCCUCUCAUAAUUUGGAUUAAAGUGUCAAACUGACGGAAACAAUCAUCUGUUAUGGAACCUAUGAGAAUAUCGAAAUUACAUUUAUUUAAAAACUAAAUGACUGAAGUAAUUAAAAUAUAUAAAUAUAAUAUGCAUGACGCUCAAAUCUUAUAUGAUUUUCUAUUUUACCAUAUAACUCUUUUAGAUUUAGUGUUUUACCAUAUAACUUCCUUAUGAUUUAGUGCUAUACUAUAUAUCUCCCUUAUAAUUUUCAAUAAAUAUAUAUAACCCCCCGUGGUUAAUAAAUAAAUUUCAACUUUACAUAAAUGUAUUUUUGACAUUUAGUUAACUCCGUUAUGAAUUGCAAUUUUCAUUACUCUGAUAUCUUAAUCUAAAUGAUGAGAAGAUUAUGUAUAUCUUUUGAAACCAUAGAAGAAUUAUGUAAACAAAUACUAAACUGCAGGGGCAUAAAGUGUAAUUUGCCCAUGACAAAGACACCGAGUUGAAAGAAUUAAAAUUGCAACUUAGUUGUCACCAUUGGGUUCCAUCAGAUAGUCUACUGGACACUAUAGGCAAAAGGGCUUUCUUUUCCCAAGCCUUCAACAUUUUUUUUUUUUAAAUAAAAGUUUGAAUGAGUUCAACUCGGAUCACCACCAUAAAUCAGAGCAUACAUGAUAUUAUAGGCAAAAGGGAUUUCUUUUCCCAAGCCUCCAACAUUUGUCCUUUUUUUUUGCUAAUAAAAGUUAGGGCAAAUUCCACUUUACCCUCCUGUGAUUUAGCAUUUUUUUACAUAACCCCCCUAUAGUUUCAAAAACUAUAUAUAAUCCUCUUAUGGUUUGGAUUAAUGUGUCAAAAUGACGGGAAUGAUCAUUCGUAACGGAAUCACCUAAAAUAUCAAAAAUACCCUUAUGUAAAGUUGAAAAUUAUUUAUUAACCAAGGGAGGUUAUGUGGAUAUUUUGAAAAUCAUAAGGGGGUUAUAUGGUAAAGUAUUAAACCAUAAAGGGGUUAUAUAGUAAAAUAUAAAAAUCAUACGGGGUUAAUAUGUCAUGUAUUUAUAAGGGUAAUUUCGACAUUUUUAGAAAUUCCGUUACGAGUGACUAUUUCUGUUAUUUUGACACUUUAAUCCAAAUCAUGAGGAGGUUAUGUAUAGCUUUUGAAACCAUAGGAGGGUUAUGUAAAAAAAUGCUAAACCACAGAGGGGUAAAAUGUAAUUUGCCCUAAAAGUUAUAAUGGGUUCGACUCUAAUCACCAUCACAAGCCAAAGCAUGUUUUUGGAAUCAUAGAUUAUUGAUAAUCAUUUUUACAUCGAGUACGAAAUUCGAAUAUAUGACCUUUCGUAAAGAAAUGGUUCGUUCUUUUAACUAUUGUUAUUUUUGCAGCAAAUGAUCUAUAGAACUCAAAAAGAUUUCACCCAAAAAUUAUAGGAGAUAAAUUUCACAAAAACUAAUGUAGAUGAGGAGGCAAUUUACACAAUAUAUAUGAGAGAAGAGGAAUAAUGCUAAUGAUAAUAUAUUAACCAGACAUCAUAAUAAUAAUGUUAUUAAAUUUUAAUCUUCUUGACAAAUCACAAUAUCAAUAAUAUCGUAACUGAAUUCAAAUAAAAUUACUAAGACCGUAACUUGACACUGUUAAAUAAUAAUAUAAAAAUUUCUAUGUUUGAGUCUUGAUUUAGUAUGCUAACAUGAUCAUAUACCACAGCUUUUAGUGCGUGGACACAACCUCUGACAGUAAUUUGGUUACCUGAUGAGAUAAAAGUAAACCACCACACUGCAGAGGAUGGAUUAAUUUGAAAAAAAAAGAAGGAAGAAUGGGAUGCUUUGUAGUUCAGAGUAACUAACUAUCAGUUUGAGAAGCCGCGUCAGGCAUAAAUUUUCUCUAUGGAGUUCUAUGAAAACAUUGAAACGUUCAGAUUUUUGGAUUAAAAGUAAAAAAAUAGUAGUCAAAUCUUGUAGAACAUCCGGUAGUUAAUGUAUUUGAUUUGUCUUAGGUUCGAUUCUGUUUAUUCCAAAAAAAAAAAAAGAAAUGAAAAUGCUGAUGCGCGAACUCCUGGGCUUAAUUUCAGCCAGGUUUCAGGUCAAAUAUGCUACUUUGAAACAGUAGAAGAAUGUUUUAUCUUUCCGUAAAGGGAAUUUCGCCAUUUUCAUCCCUAAACUUUUACACUAAAACCAAUUUCAUCCUUUAUGAUUUUUUUUAGCCAAUUUAGCCCUUCGACUAUUUUGAAGUCUCUAAUGUAGGACUUUUGCGGCGGCGACACCACAUUUUACAUAUUCCCUACCACCGGUGAUGGGUGUAUCUGUCUUUUGAAAUUAAAUUCUUCAAUUUAGACGGAUUUUGACCAUAGUUCUUCUUCUCCGAUAGACACCUCAUCCCAUUCACCAGAAAUUCGCGCAAACUCUCUCACACACUCAAAUCAUGAAAUAAAAUUCACAAGAAAAAAAACAAAAAAUCAAGAACCAUAAGAAAAGUGAAGCAAACAUACUCUCAAGCAGAAGACGUCAUUUACGCUGACCUGGACGAGAUGACGAGCAAGGUGGCAUCCGAGAGUGGAGUCAGCAGAGUUGAAAGGAAUGGGAGAUUGGUGGAUGGUAACGGCGCCAUUGGUGGGGAGACAACUGAUGUCGUUGCUGAGUGGCUUACACGUGUCCAAUGCUCCGAUCUUAGUGUCCAUGUUUUCGACCAUGAGACGAGGACGGCGACGUCUAAGAUGUCGGUUGUAGAUGUAAGUAAAGAGUAGCGGUACAAUAAAAUAGAAAGUUCCAUAAAGUUGGGGAGAAAAGAUGGAAUUCCAAUCCGUGGAGCUAUUAUGAUAUUUACCUUUGCUCUUUCUUUUUUUUUUGGUGGGUUCGAUAAGGAAGGGAAAUUUUUUUCUUUUUUUUGCCUUGAGGCAGGUCUUGGCUUUUCUUUUGGAAUGGGUGGUGAUCGGAGCAUGAAUGUGGGAGCGCAAGUGUGUGUGUGUGUAUAUAUAUAUACAUGGUUGGCUGGAUGAUCUCAGUUCUUAGAGCUCAGAGGGGUUACUAAACUUACUAUGGCAGAAGGAAAAACAAACGGAGAAACCGGAAACUAGGGGCGGUCUCAUCUUUUAACAAAGGGUGCCUGAUUAUUUUGGUAUGGCGGUGGGAAUCGGGUUGAGGCACGCCGCAUGUCUUAAAGGAGAAAUGGCUCUCAAACAUACUCUUAGCCUCAGGUCAACUUACAAACUCAUUUUGUUUGGGCAUUUUGUCAAAUAGAUUAAGCUCAUCACAAAAAUUGAAUAUUUCGUAUGAAUUUUGACUAUGGCUAAGCCGAAAAAAUCUUGUCAAGCCUCAUUCAGGCAGAAAAGGUCAAAAGAAACAACAAAAUUGCAGUAAGUAUCAUUGUCCAAUUUCAUUCAUCUACAAAACAAAGCAUACGGGAAGAAGAUGGCAAUUUCAACAGCCAAAAAAAUCAUCUCAACCUAGAGAUUAAAACAAAAAAAGGAUUCUGGAAACCGCACAUGCUUUCUUCAUGAUGAUCUGUAAGUAGUGGUGGUUCUAGCAAGAAGAUAGCAACUCCGGCAAUGGUGAUGGCGGUAGCGAGCUCCCCUUGCUCCUCGGAUUCCCUUAAUGCUUUUGUUGGUUUUCUGUUUUUGGUUCUUUUCUUCUUUUCUUGGAAAGAAAAUUGAGUAUACAACUCUACAACUAAGAUUCCGCAAGGAUUUUGGAGAGAUUCUUUUGAGUUCAUAUGAAACUCAAGGUGAAAAAUGAAUGAUGACUAGUCAUGAGAGAGUUGACAGAUGAAAGCGGGUAGGUAGUGACAAUUGGUGGUGUCUUUGCUAGCAACUAUGAACGAAGGAUUGAAGAAUCAGAACCAAACAAAAUGAGCUUGCCGGUGAGUAGAUUUAAAAUUGUGUAUGAGAAAGAUUUCUCCUUCAAAUUUUGUUUCAAUUUUCCUUUUGGUUCUCAGUUUUCUAAUGUUUUUCUCGUGGAUUUUGUUUCUUUGAUUUGAGUGUGUGAGAGAGAGUUUGUGCAAGUUUCUAAUAAAUCCAGAUAAAAUUUUCAGUGAAAUUCAUCGGAGAAGAAGAACUAUGGUCAAAGUCCGUCUAAAUUGAAGAAUUUAAUUUAAAAAGACAGAUAUACCCAUCACCGGUGGUAGGGAAUAUGUAAAAUGUGGUGUCGCUGCCGCAAAAGUCCUACAUUAGAGACUUCAAAAUAGUCGAAGGACUAAAUUAGCUAAAAAAAAUCAUAAAGGACGAAAUUGAUUUUAAUGUAAAAGUUUAGGGAUGAAAAUGGCGAAAUUCCCUUCCGUAAAAUUAAUUAUACCAACAUUUCUAUCCGCUGUUAUAGUUUCUGAUGCUUUUAUUGGCGAUACUGAUUCAGAUAGUAAAGCUUUACGGAGCCAACUGCAAGCGCCAAAGGUUGGUCUCGGGAGCAAUUUGCUGUGUUAUAGGAUUUUACCUAAAGUUUAGUUUAUUGAGUUGACUUGUCAGCUGCAAUAAUGACGGCGGACAAAUGGUAACUGACUCUCAAGUUUAAGCCGCGUGGUGAGCUUGAUUCAGAGUCAUAGAGCAGUCAACUGGGACAAUAUAUUAAUAUUAAGCUGACUCUACCUCCCUCAAAUACUGAUAAAGCUCUAAAAAAGUUUAGUUUAGGGUAAAUUCUACUUUAUCCCCCAGAAUUUAGUAUUUAUUACAUAACCCCCUAUGAUUUCAAUAGUUAUAUAUAACUCCCUCAUGAUUUGGAUUAAAGUGUCAAAGUGACGGGAAUGAUUAUUCGUAACGGAAUCACCUAAAAUGUCAAAAAUACCCUUAUAUAAAGUUGAAAAUUAUUUAUUAAUUAAGGGAGGUUAUGUGUAUAUUUUUAAAACCAUAAGAGGAUUUUAUGGUAAAAUAUUAAAUCAUAAGGGGGUUAGUGUGUCAUGUAUUUAUAAGGGUAAUUUCGACAUUUUUAGAAGUUCCGUUACAAAUGACUAUUUCCGUCACUUUGACACUUUAAUCCAAACUAUGAGGGGGUUAUGUAUAACUUUUGAAACCAUAGGAGGAUUAUGUAAAAAAUAAAGAGACUAAACCACGGGGAUAAAAUGUAAUUUGCCCUUUAGUUUAUCAUAAUCAAACACAUGGAUUUCAUCAUGCAUGACGGCUUCAUGAAUAUGACAAGAGCCACGUUUGGGUUUAAUUUUCUUAUGGCAUGACUUGGUCUAAAUAUCUAGGAAGAAUGCAAAAAUCUUGUAUUGCCCUAUUAGAUUCCCAGAUAUAAACAAUUUGUGGAGGGAAUGAAAUGGAGUUAGAUUAUUAGAUUGUUCAUCAUCAAUGAUAACUUCUCAAUCACCAAGGAGGGGAUCCCUUUUUCUACUGCUUGCUUGCUUCUGUUUAGAAGCUUGUACAGCGGUGGAUUAUAUAACAAUCACUCAGCCUCUGCAGGACUCCGAAACUGUAGUUUCUUCAGGCCAGACUUUCAAAUUAGGAUUUUUCAGUCCUGCAAAUAGUAGUGAUCGAUAUGUUGGAAUCAUGUUCAAUGUUCCUGCAGUUGCAGUAGUAUGGGUGGCUAAUAGAGACAGACCAUUAAAUGAUUCAUCAGGAACUCUGACAAUCUCAGGAGACGGCAAUCUUGUGGUCUUGAAUGGGCAGAAGGAGAUACUAUGGUCAUCUAACGUUUCAAAUUCUGUGGCAAAUUCUACUGCACAACUCUUGGAUACUGGAAACUUCGUUUUGACAGACAAUCCCAGUGGAAGAACUCUGUGGGAAAGUUUUCAGAUUCCGACAGACUCAUAUCUCCGGCGGAUGAGAUUAAGUUCAAGUACGAAAGGCCAGAAAAUACGAUUGACCUCUUGGAGAAGUCCUUCUGAUCCAUCUAUCGGAAGUUUCUCCCUAGGUAUUGAAGCCAAGCAAAUUCCACAACUCUUCAUUUGGAACGACAAUAAACCUUAUUGGCGCAGUGGUCCAUGGAACAACAAUGUCUUUAUUGGAGUUCCUGCCAUGGAUCCAGUUUAUCUAAAUGGUUUUAACCUGGUAACGGAUGAUGCAGGAUUGGUGUCUGCUACCUUCACGUAUUCAAAUGAUAGUGGUUUGUUGUACCUUGAAUUGAGUUCCUCAGGGUCUGUACUGCAGAAAGUUUUAUCAGAUAGAAAAGGGGAUUGGGAGGUUACAUGGUCAAGCCAAGGAAGUCAAUGUGAUGUCUAUGGCAUAUGUGGACCUUUUGGAAGCUGCAAACCCCAUGGUUCACCUAUUUGUACAUGUUUGCAAGGUUUUGAGCCUAGAGAUAAGGUGGAAUGGGAAGGAGGAAACUGGACUAGUGGUUGCACAAGAAGGGCAAUGCUACAAUGUGAGAGAAAUAAUUCUGUUCGUUCUGAGGGCAAACAAGAUGGAUUCUUGAAGCUCCCAAACACUAAAGUUCCAGAUUUGGCUGAAUGGGUCGCAACUUCAGAAGACGAAUGUGGUACUCAGUGCUCAAAUAAUUGCUCCUGUUUAGCUUAUGCCUCUUAUCCAGGCAUUGGCUGUAUGCACUGGACGGGAAGCUUAAUUGAUAUACAGCAGUUUCCCUCUUCUGAUGGGGCAGAUUUAUACAUACGUGUGCCUUAUUCUGAACUUGGUAAGACACUUCUUAUUACAAUGUUUUAGUAACUCUGUACUCUUAAUGUAGCAUUUUACUUUCUGCUUCUGCAUUCAAAUAGGAUUUGAAUUCGAUCAAGGCUAUAUUUUGGAAUGUAACUAAGUUAUCAAAUCCCCUUCACUUCUUUUUACAUUUUUUCUAUAGAUUCUACAAGAAAGUCAAAAUGACAUAGAAUUGCAUUUGGCUAGUUCUUUCUCGAUAGUAGCUUUCUGAAGAUGCUUUGAAACUUUGACAUUUAUAGGCAAGAAAAGGGACAUGAAAGCAGUCAUUGCAACCUCAGUAAUUGCAGCAUCUUUAUCCUUUGCAUUGUCUGCAUACUUUUGUUGGAAGUGGCUGGCUAAGCGGAAGGGUAUUACUCUGAUUUUAGCUUCAUUUUUCAGACAUUGUUUUUCCUCAUCAUAAAUUUACCAAGCACUAUUUCAUGAUAAGCACAGGGAAACAAGAUCAGAUUUCAUUAAUUGAAGCAGGGGAAGUAUAUAAUGUCGAAAGCUUGUUUAGCGACAACUUGGAGCAACCCAAGCUUGAAGAGCUACCACUUUAUAGUUACGAAACUUUAGCUAAUGCAACAGAUGAUUUUGAACCAAAAAGUGAGCUUGGAAAAGGUGGCUUUGGCCCUGUCUACAAGGUACACAUCCUCAGCUGCAUGUGGUGUUUUCUAUGGUUGAAUACAGCAAAUGUAACGGUUAUGUAACUGCAGGGAAAGCUAUCAGAUGGACAGGGGAUAGCUGUGAAAAAGCUUUCAAAAUCUUCUGGUCAAGGAACUGAGGAGUUUAUGAAUGAGGUUAUGGUGAUUUCUAAACUUCAACAUCGAAAUCUUGUUAGACUUCUUGGCUGCUGUGUUGGAAGAGAAGAAAAAAUGCUUGUGUAUGAAUACAUGCCAAAUAAGAGCUUGGAUACCUAUCUCUUUGGUUAGUCAAUCUGGUGUUUCUUUUUCCAAUGUGGUUACUAAAGUUCCAUAGAACCGUCUUUCUUUAUGGAACCCAACACAGUUUCAUAAACCUAUGAUGAUUUUAGUCCUCCUGAUCUUUUCAGAGCCAUCGAAACGUGGUUUACUUGAUUGGAACACCCGCAUUAGCAUCAUUGAGGGGAUUGCAAGAGGCCUCCUUUACCUUCACAGGGAUUCAAGAUUGAAAAUUAUUCACAGGGAUCUAAAAGCAAGCAACAUCCUCUUAGAUGACCAGCUUAAGCCAAAAAUAUCAGAUUUCGGCUUAGCAAGAAUUUUCGGCGGCAACCAAGAUCAAGCAAAUACCAACAGGGUUGUAGGAACCUAGUAAGCACAUACUGCUAAAAUUAUAUCCUAUAAUGCAACUUCCGUAGAUUAACUUUGUUCUUACGUCCCCAAAUUAUGUGAUAACAGUGGCUACAUGGCCCCUGAAUAUGCAAUGGAGGGAAGAUUUUCAGAAAAGUCAGAUGUUUACAGUUUCGGAGUGCUAUUAUUGGAGAUUGUAAGUGGAAGGAGAAACACAGGCUUUUACCAUGAUGAGUACGAGCUCAGCCUUUUAGGAUAUGUAAGCUUGUUUCUUUAUUAGGACUGCAAUUCUAAAGAUUCAUUUCCAUUUCUAACAUUUCAAUCUCUGAACUCCAAAAUUCAUCAACUUGCCAAAAUUUUCAGGCCUGGAAAUUGUGGAAUGGAAAUGAUAUAACAAAUUUGAUAGACCCGUUGAUCUUUGAUCCAUGCAUCGAAGUGGAGGUCAUGAGAUACGUACAUGUAGGACUACUAUGCGUGCAAGAAUAUACAAAGGAUCGGCCAAAUGUCUCAACUGUUCUGUCAAUGCUGAAUAGUGAAAUUGCAGACCUUCCUCGUCCUAAUUUACCAGCUUAUAUAGGAAGAUUGGGUGCUUCAGCCGGAUGUCCUCAAAAAAGCACAGAUUCUGUGAAUGGUGCAACUCUAACAGGUGUUCAAGGCAGAUAGCACAUCCCAAUACAUGUUUUUUUUUCCUUUUGGGGGUAAGUGUUUUUCAUCUUUCGAGUGCACAGAAGAUGUGAAGCACAUUGAUGUUGUUUUAGAGGGUAAUGGAAAAAAAAAUUCGGUUAUGCUGCCAUUCCUUGUCGAACAAUGAAUUUUUUGGUUCAAAUUGCCUUUUGUACCUUAAAUCAAAGAAUGGCUAAUUGUCUGGAUGCUAUUGAGAAUAACAACUUAUAAAUUAAUGAGUGGUGUGUGUUUCUCAACAAACUUGGAAUGCUAAAAGAACAAAAACCAAAAUGUUCUUUGAUCUCAUUAUCUUCCUGUCGUUGUCCUGUAUGUCCUGAGGUUAAGGGCACAACUUCUAAAAGGACCCACAAAGACGAAUAUAAGUGUAGAUUUUUUCCUUGAACCAAUUUCCGCGAUUAUUAUCUCCAAUUUUGCUUUAUAGAAGUUGAAUCCCGUCUCGUGAGAUUGUCACUUUAUAAAAUUUUUUUGUCGCAUAAAUACAGUGCCAUCAUGGGGUCUAAAUGUUGACUUUGAAACAUGAAUGCAUAUGUCCAGCUAUCUGAAUUGUUGCGGGUGAAUGAAGGAAAACUUGCCAUCAAGAAAUAUCCAGCAGCAACGCGGUUUGAAUAGAAAGAGAAAGGAGUCAAAUGUGAAGUGUCGAAACUCAGAAGUUAUUUGCAAAAAAAUGAUAGACCAUUUUCUCUGCAGCAGGAGAAUGAAGGAACUUACAAACUUAGUACCUCUACUACUCCUGUUUGCUUGCUUCUGCACAGAAGAUUGCAGAGCUAAUGAUACCAUUACAAUCACUAAGCCGAUUCGUGACCCCGAAUCUGUAGUCUCCGCAGGACAAACCUACAAAUUGGGAUUUUUUAGCCCUGCAAAUACUAGUAAUCGAUAUGUUGGAAUCAUUUUCAAUAAUUUUCCUCAACAGACUGUUCUUUGGGUAGCUAACAGAAACCAACCCUUGAAUGAUUCUGGAGGAAUAUUUUCCAUUUCAGAAGAUGGAAACCUUACGGUCCUGAACGGGCAGAAAAAGGUUUUAUGGUCUUCUAAUGCUUCAAAUUCGGUGGCAAAUUGCAGUGCACAACUCUUGGAUACUGGGAACUUAGUCCUGAGAGACAACUCAAAUGGAAUGAUUCUAUGGGAAAGUUUUCGGCAUCCUACAGACACCAUUGUCUGCAAAAUGAGACUAGGGGCAAGCACCAAGAACAAGAACCGGCUUACCUCAUGGAAAAGUCCUUCCGACCCAUCUAUUGGAAGUUUCUCUCUAGGUUUUGAUCAUCCAGGAAUUCCAGAAGUCUUCAUUUGGGAUCAGAGUAAGCCUCUUUGGCGCAGUGGUCCAUGGGAUGGCAACGUCUUCAUUGGAGUUCCUGGCAUGUAUUCAGGUCGACACGUGUUACAUAUGGUGAAUGAAAAUACAGAUUCUGCAUCCCUUACCUACGAUUGCUUCAAUGAUUCUGUUUUGACAUACUACCAUGUAUUGACUUCCUCUGGGAUUUACCUGGAGAACGUUUGGAACAAUGACCUAGGAGAUUCCACGGUAACAUGGUCAAGUCGAAAGAGUGAAUGUGAUGUCUAUAGCAAAUGCGGCCCUUUUGGAAUAUGUAAUCCUCAGGGUUCGCCAAUUUGUACAUGCUUGAAAGGUUUUGAGCCAAGAGACAAGGAGGAAUGGAACAGAGGAAACUGGACUGGUGGCUGCUUAAGAAAGGCAUUGCUGCAAUGCCAGGGGAACAUAUCUGGUGGUCAGGAGGCCAAACCAGAUGGGUAUUUAAAGCUCAAUAACGUAAAAGUUCCAGAUUCCUCUUACUUAGUUGGCGUCCUCAACCUCAUAAGGGAGGAAGAAUGUGGUGAUGAGUGCUCAAACAAUUGCUCUUGCAUAGCUUAUGCAUAUCCCAAGGGCGUUGGAUGUAUGCACUGGAGUGGCCAUUUGAUAGAUGUACAACAAUUCCCUUUUGAUGGGACAGAUCUAUAUGUGCGUGUGGCUUAUUCUGAACUUGGUAAUUAUUUUUCCAGCCCCUUAUUCAUUACUUGCAUCUUGUAUAUAUGGAUGUGAUCCAGUCUCUGAGUAGUGAAAUCUUCUUAAGCUGUGUUGAUAAUUUAUUGCACAAAUCUACCUCAAAAUGAUGCUAAAAUUUGAUAUGAUGGCACAUGUCUAGUUCCUUGUAAAUUCUCAUAAUCUGCUUUGAACCACCUGAAAUGCAGAUCACACCAAAAGCAAAAGUCACAAGAAAGCAGUCAUUGCUAGCAUAGUUGUUGUGAUAUCUUUGUUCGUUGCUGGUUUUGCAUAUUUCUUAUGGAAGUGGUUGCCUUAUCAUAGAGGUAAAGCGCUAGAUUAGCAAAGAUAAAGUCACGACAUAUUCCCUACAUGCAUUGGCAAUAUGGAGAAGGUGCACAAACCUAACUUUCACUAUUUGAAGCAGGUGAAACAAUCAUCAGAAUGAAAGACAUGCUCAGCGACAGUGAAGAUCAGCUUCAUCUGUACGGUAAUGAGACACUGGCUAACGCAACAAAUACUUUUCAUGUGGAAAUCAAGCUUGGGAAAGGUGGUUUUGGUUCAGUCUACAAGGUAUAUCAAGUGUUCGUUCGUUCGUUUUUUUGCAGAACCUUAUGCAGUUUGGACUGUAAAGAACUCAAUAAUAGUGUAGCACACAUAUGCAGGGGAAACUGAUAGACGGCCAGGAAAUUGCAGUGAAAAGGCUUUCAAACUCUUCGACUCAAGGGAUCGAGGAGUUUAAGAAUGAAGUUCUGGUCAUUUCAAAACUCCAACACCGAAAUCUUGUCAGACUUCUUGGGUGCUGUGUUGAAAGAGAGGAGAAAAUGCUGGUCUAUGAAUUCAUGCCAAACAAAAGCCUGGAUGCCUAUCUAUUUGGUUAGCUGGUUAUAAUUUCCUGUACCGAAAUGUUGAUUACUAGGAUGUCUUCUACCAUAUUUACAGAAUUGUUGAUGGAUGAUCGUCUGACUAAACAAUAAAACUGUACUCACAUUCUGCCUGAUUUCAGAUAUAUGCAAGCAUGAUUUACUUGCUUGGAAUAGACGCACCAUCAUCAUUGAAGGGAUCUGCAGAGGCCUUUUGUACCUUCAUAGGGACUCGAGAUUGAAAAUUAUCCACAGAGAUCUUAAAGCCAGUAAUAUUCUCUUGGACGGGGAGCUGAUUCCAAAAAUAUCAGAUUUCGGCUUAGCAAGAAUUUUCAGAGGCAACCAAGAUCAAGACAAUACGAACAGGGUUGCGGGGACAUAGUAAGCACGUACCAGUUAUCUCAGUUCAAUCAUGGAAACUCCAAAACCCCCCCCCCCUCUCUUUCCCCCUCCCAUUUCUGUUGAGUUUAAGCAUAAAUCAAUUUCACCCCUUGUUGAUAACGGGAUGCAGUGGCUAUAUGGCCCCAGAAUAUGCAAUGAGAGGAAAGUUUUCUGAAAAGUCAGAUGUCUACAGCUUUGGAGUGCUGCUGUUGGAGAUUGUGAGUGGAAAGCGAAACACUAGCUUUGGUAACGAGGCGAAUGAUCACAGCCUGGUAGAAUAUGUAAGUUUCUAUACAUGGCGAUUCCCAUAUGCGAAAUUCAUUCCACUUUUAUACAACUCAUGAUUAAUUUCAGUUGCAUUUUGUUCUCAUAAUUUUCAGGCCUGGAAACUGUGGAAUGCAGGUGAAACAGUGAAAUUAAUCGAUCCAAGAAUUUUUGAUCCGUGCAUUGAAAUGGAGGUCUUGAGAUACAUCCAUGUUGGACUAUUAUGUGUGCAGAAGCAUGCCAAGGAUAGACCAAACGUGUCCAAUGUUCUGUCAAUGCUUAACAGUGAAAUAGUUGAGAUCCCUUGUCCUAACUUACCAGCUUAUAAUGCCAUAUUUUGUCCUUCAAAAACUGUACAUCCUGAACAAGGUAUACAUUCCCCCAAUGAUGUCAGUAUAACAGCUGUCGUAGGCCGAUAGCACAUUUUACAGCAAUAUGGGCAAAGAUUAGUAGAAUACUGAGGUAUCCAAACAAACAAAUUAGGGUUUUCCAAAUCAUUUGUUCACUAGUGUUUCUUUAGAUUGUUCUAGUAAAAACCAAUUGCCAUUCUGAAGGUAUCAAUUUUAUUUUUUUUUCUUUAAUUUUUUUGAUCAAAUUUUAUAAUGACAUGUUUAACUAGGUUCUGAUUAGCAUUAACACUUUGUCUAACGCAUACAGUUUUAUUCCUGGUUGCAUUUAUAAACUCUCCCAUAUAAGUACACCUCCACAAAAUACUAAAAUAGGGAGAAUUAAUUGCAAUUUCAAUUCCUAGUAGUUGGCCUCUAUGUCAAACUCGUCCCUAAUGCAAAGACAAUACAACUCACUAUCAGUUAAUAAUCAAUAGCGCAAAAAAAAUAAUUAUGUAUAUUAUACCAGUUGAGACUGAUUAUGCAAACCAAAAAAUUUUGGCAGAGGAGCAAUUAAGGUCGGCCACAAUUUUGGACUCCCUAUUUCUCCUACUUUGUUACUCCUUUCAGGGAGUGAAUGAAUUUGACAUAUCCAACAUUAAGACAAUUCCUCCAGGACUGCACCUUCCUCUGGCCUAACUCUGAUGGCAGCACUGACAAGAAAAAGAAACAAUGAAUCUCCAGUCUCAAUGAGGGAAUCUUUUGUUCUUGUACUUGCUUGCUGUUUAACAGUUUGUACCGCCAUAGACACUAUUACUAUUGCUAGGCCUGUCCAAGACCAUGAAACUUUAGUAUCCUCCGGGCAAACCUUCAAGUUGGGUUUUUUUAGUCCUGCAAACGCCAGUAAUCGCUAUGUUGGAAUCAUGUACGAUAAUAUUCCUGGAACAACUGUUAUAUGGGUGGCUAACAGGGACAAACCUGUUAAGGAUUCUACCGGAAUUUUGACAAUUGCAGGAGACGGUAACCUUGUAAUCUUGAAUGGGGAGAGGGAGAUCAUAUGGUCUUCUAAUGCUUCAAAGUCUGUGGCAAGCUCAAGUGCCAAACUUUUGGAUACUGGGAACUUAGUCUUGACAGACAACUCAGAUGGAAGUACGAUGUGGGAGAGUUUCCAAAUUCCUACUGAUUCUUUGGUGCCAAAGAUGAGAUUAAGUGCGGGUGCAAAAGAGAAGCUCCAACUAACUUCCUGGAGAAGCCCUUCUGAUCCUUCCAUUGGAGAUUUCUCUGCAGGCCUUAACCUUUUCCGGCCGCAACAGUUCUUUGUUUGGGAGAUUAAUGUACCUCACUGGCGCAGUGGUCCACGGAGUGGUAAUACGUUCAUCGGAAUAGCUGGCAUGAGUUCUGCUUAUCAGAGUCGAUUUGAUCUGGUGGAGGACAAUUCAGGAUCUACUUAGUUUACCUACAACUCUGUAAAUAAUCCGGAUCUGUUCUACUACGCAUUGAAUUCCUCAGGGUGUUUACAGGCAAAGGUCUUAAUUGGUAAAGGAGAUUGGAGUGUAACGUGGUCAAGUCUAGAAAGCCAAUGUGAUAUUUAUGGCAAAUAUGGACCUUUUGGAAGCUGCAAUCGUCUACAGUCACCAAUUUGUACGUGUUUGCGAGGGUUUAAGCCAAGAGAUGAAGAGGAAUGGAACAGAGAAAAUUGGAGUGGUGGAUGCAUAAGAAAGGAAUUGUUGAAAUGUGAGAGAAAUCAAUCUUCCAGUAUAGAUGCCAAAGAAAAUGGAUUUGUGAGACUCCCAAACAUGAAAGUUCCAGAUUUCCUUGUGCUGGUAGUAUUCUCAGAAGAAGCAUGUGGUAGUUCUUGCUUGAAAAAUUGCUCUUGCACAGCUUAUGCAUAUUACAAAGGGAUAGGAUGUAUGCAUUGGCGUGGCAGCCUAAUCGAUGUGCAGCAGUUCUCCUAUGAUGGGGCAGACUUGUAUAUACGCGUACCUUAUUCUGAACUUGGUAAGAUAUAUCUUCUAUACACUAGUUAUAGUUACAUGUUUCACUUAUUAAUUGCUUAUACAUGUCUAAGGAUUUGUGCCCAGUUUUUUUUUUUUUUAAAAUAAAUUUUCAAUCAAUCCAAAAGUCCAGAACUGAUAAUUCUCACAUUUUUUUUGGAUCUAUUUGAAGUUAUGAUGAAAUUUGCUUGUGUUUCUACCAAAAAGGUAUCUAUAGUAGGGCCAAUUGACAGUCGCCACAUGUCAGCUCGGCCAUGGUGGCUUGCCAGCUCGGAACAGCCAGGUCUACUGGAGAGCACCAGCUCGGCCGACGCUGCCGCCUCUCCGUCAUGUGGGCCUAGUGGGCCGCGGCCUCCGGACCGUUCGGGGUAUUCACGCGAAACUCUAGGAAGACUCCAAACUCUAGAGGAUUCCAACUCCUAUAUAGAAACUACUACCCGCAAGCCUAUAAAUGUAGCUUCAUACGACGACACAAGGUACGCCAUCUACAGUACUCUAUAUUGUUACUUUACUCUCAAGCUCUCGCUGACUUGAUCGUCGGAGCUACUCCGGAAACAUCAGCCUAGCCGUCGAUUUUCUUGACAGGGCAGCUCGCUCGUUUUCCCCCUAUCAGCUCGAUCAGCCCCAAUCCGCUCAGCUCGGGUCUCGUCUUUGACAAUCGCAUUAAUUGGCACCAUCUGUGGGAAACACGUAAUUCUUCUCUUGCAAACCAUGCCAAGAACUAGGUCCCAGAGGAACGCUGACGGAUCCAAGGGGAACGAGCAAAGCGGCCCUUAGAAUCCCCCCCCCGGGGUCCAAUUCCAGGAGACGAAGGGACGGGGCUCUCAUGAAUCUCGCCUGAACAGCUAACUGGUGGAAAACCUAUCUACCUUUGAGGCAAUCAUGGACUACUUCAAAGAGCAGACGAGAGGCCAUCGUGACCAGAAGCUUAAGGCCCAAGGGGUGGAAGGAGUUGGGCUGUCCGAGUCCCGUACAGGGAGUCCUAACCCCCGGCCAAAGCGGGCGCGUAGGGAGCUCACACGUGAAUAGAUCGAGGUCGUGGAGCCUUCUCACAAGAACACCCGAACUGAGCACCUGGAGCCCUUCCGAAGGUUCUCAAAGGAAGAGCUCUCCCCACGGAAAGAGGAAUACCAGGUACAGGAUGAGCUGGACCUACUUUUGGACCCUGAGGCGGACAGGUACAUUGCCUCUCCCUUCGUGCCCGAUAUUGAGAGCUAUCCACUGCCCACGAAGUUGAAGAUACUGAGUAUGAAAUCCUACGAUGCGACCACGGAUCCGGAGGACCACCUAUUCGCAUUUUUGACACAAAUGCGCCUACAAAUGGCCGCAGACGCGAUCAGGUGCAAGACCUUCCCAAUGUUCUUGGAGGGGAAGACACGUCAGUAGUUCCGGGGGCUGCCUCCCAGGUCAAUUCGGUCUUUCAACCAGCUCGCGCGACUAUUAGCAACUCAGUUCGUUUCGUCGCGAGUCUUCUCCAAAAGCACUGCUUACCUGAUGACCAUCCAGCAAAGGCCCAAGGAAUACAAUGUUAGCGCGACUUUUAAUGUCACAGACUUGAGUCCAUUCCUUGGUGAGGAGGAUCCAGAUUUGAGGACAAAUCCUUCUCAAGUAGAGGAGAAUGAUGUGUGCACGGACCUUAGGCCAAGUAAUGAUCCAGUUCGAGUCCCAUUGAGCCUAGUCACACGUGCACGGACCAAGUGCUUCAAGGAGUCUCUUCAAACUCUUGUGCGAAAUGUUCAAGACCAACAAGGAGUCCAUCGGGAUAUUGAAGGCUUGGAAGGUGAUAAUCAAGUUGUCUACACGAUGAUCCAAACCCACGAAGAGAGCCCGUGAAGAGUCGAGUGGACCCCCAUGUGGGAAUGGUUGACUAGGCUCUAGGCCUUAGUGUUAGGUUCAAUUGUUUAGAGUUAUAUUAGAUUAUUUUAUUUGAGUCAUGGGCCGGCCCACCUUGUCCAAGGAGUGGCCGACCCUCCUUAGCUAGUUUCUUAGGGUUUCAUUAGCCUCUUAGCCUAUAUAAAGGCUCACUUUGUACGGUUAACAGGUAGACAAUUUUCAUAAUAAAAUUCUGGUUCGAUUCUCUUCAAAUUAUUGAGAGCAGUCGAUCCUUUAUUUGCUUUUGGCAAGCGUUCUUGAGCAAUCUUGCGAAUGUCCUUGAUUGUUCUACUGAGCUAUCCACUAGAAUAUCACCUCAAUUGAAGUCGUCGUUCUACCACCUUCAAUCAAUUCAUGUCGUCAGUUUUGGUUCUAGGUUUCGCAUUCCAAGUGUUGGACAAUCUCGCUAGAUCCUUGGACAAAUGUGCUACGUGUUUCGAAACUUGUUGAUCGAGGACCGUAUCAGAGGGUGUCUCCUUCGGGUCGCAUGGGACUAAAGCCAACCAGGCCAAAGAAACAGUUGAGGCCAGGAUGGCCAAAGAAGCUGCCGAGGUCACACAUGUCAGACGAGCUGGAGAAACUGCCAAUGCUAUGCAGACCCAAGAAGCAGUCGGGGCCUUGCAGGUCGAAGAAGCUAUCGAGGUCGCCCAAGCCAAUGAGGUAGCAAAGGUCGAACAGGCCGGAGAGACUACCCAGGUCGCACAGGCUGAAGGAGCAGUCAAGACCGAACAGGCUAGAGAGACUGCCCAAGCCAAAAAGGCUAAAGAGGCUACAGGAUGAACUGAUCUGGCCUGGACGUUGUACGUAGACGGCGCAUCAAGCAAAGAAGGAUGUGAAGCGGGGCUCCUCCUAAUCAGCCCUACUGGGGAAGAGCUGGCCUACCCCUUGAGAUUCGAUUUCAGAGCCUUCAAUAACGAAUCUGAAUGUGAGGCUCUGAUCGUGGGAAUGGAGAUGGCUCGGAAAUUGGGGCCGAAUCAAUAAAAGUCUACAGCGAUUCGCAGCUAAUAGUAAACCAAGUAUGAGAAAACUACGAGAUCAAAGAAGUACCAUUGAGGAAAUAUGGCAUCAAGGCACACGAGCUGAGGGGUCAGUUCAAGCAGUUCAUAUUCGAGUAGAUCCCACGGAGCCAAAAUAAGAGAGCUGACACCUUGUCCAAACUGGCAUUUACCUCGUUUGGCACACAAAAUAGGGAGGUGCUGGUGGAGGUCAUUAAAAGACGGGCCUAUGAGCAGUUAGACACCGCAGUCAUUCAGAUAGUAAUCUCAUGGAUGGACCCCAUCGUCCGGUACCUAGCCAAUGGAAAGCUCUCUGCGAGUAGGACAGAGGCCCGCAAAGUCCUUUUCAAAUCACAAAAAUACGUGCUCACAGAGGGAGUACUAUAUAAGAAGUCUUACUUGCAGCCAUGGCUAAAGUGUGUAACGCCAGAGGAAGGAAGCUAUGUCUUGCGUGAACUGCAUGAAGGCAUUUAUGGUAAUCACGUUGGCUCGAGAGUUCUGGCCAAGAAGGGAAUGCUAUCUGGAUACUAUUGGCCUACCAUCUUCCGGGACUCGGUUGAACUGGUAGUCAGAUGUAAGUCAUGCCAAUUGCACGCCUCGGUUCAUCACGCCCCAAUUCAGGAGAUAGUACCCCUUCAUAGCUCAUGGCCGUUUUUCCAAUAGGGAAUCGACCUGUAGGGCCCAUUUUUUCAAGCUCCAGGAAGUUAUGAGCACUUGGUGAUAGCAAUUGAUUACUUUAUUAAAUGGGUCGAGGCCAAACCACUCAGCACAAUCAAUAGCAGGUCGGUCUAAAAGUUUCUUUGGAAGAACAUAGUAUGCCAAUUUGGCAUACCGCGAGUCCUAGUCUCGGACAAUGGCUGACAGUUUGCUGACAAUUCCCUCCAGGAGUGGCGUUCUGAGCUCGAAAUUCAGCAACAUUUCACUUCUGUGGGGCACCCACAAGCUAAUGGACAGGUCGAAAAUGUCAACAGGACCAUCUUACAUGGCCUCAAGACGCGGAUAUGAUCUGCGCGAACUGAAUGGGUGGACGAGCUGCCCACUAUACUGUGGGCCUACCGGACUACCCCUAGACGGCUAUCCAGGAAACUCCUUUGUCCUAACAUAUGGGACCGAAUCAGUAAUUUCAACAGAAAUUGGAGUGUCCUCAAGUAGGGUGCAGCAUUUCGUGGCCCAGAAUAACGAGGAAGAGAUGCGAUUCAACCUAGACUUGCUCAAGCAGCAAAGAGAAGAAGCUGCCAUAAGAAUAGCAAAGUACAAAGGGCAGGUCGCGCGGUACUACAACGCCAUAGUAAGGCAUCUCGCAUUCAAAUUAGGAGACCUGGUACUGCGGAGAAAUGCAGUGGCCGAGCUAUGGGCACAGGCAAGCUUGACACGAAUUGGGAGGGUCUCUACGUGGUAAAAGAAGCUAACCGCGCUGGGUACUGCAGGCUAACUCACCCUAAUGGGGAUGAAAUCCCACGCACCUGGCGCAAUUCGAAUUUAAAACUUUUUCGUUAGAGCUCGCGCAUGACUCGAGCUGAUUAGAAAGCGGGUCGCGUGACGUUUAAGAAUGUAUCUAGGUCUUACGACGAAAUGUAAGAUUUUUUGCUAAAAGUUUAAUUAAAAAGAUCAUUUAUUUCAAUUCAAAAAGGUGUACAAAAAGGGGGGCCAUACAAAAGCGAGUUGGCCAGUUCGGAUCCUACCCUACUCUAUGCCCUAUCUAUAUCUGUACUAAACACUACCUAAUUCUCCUCCUGUUGCUCUUGCUUGGGUUCAGUGAAGGUCAUAGGUAGGGUGGGGUCUACAACCAGCGCGGCCAGGUCGUGCCCAUGCGCGUAGCCUUCCACGAACCUGUCGAUCUGGUGAACUGCUUGUGGGUUGUAAUCAGGCCAUCUGCCUAAGUCGAAUCUAGGCAAAUUCAGAGACUGCACGUCAUGCAUAGCUUGUGUAUACCUCACCUGCAGAACUGGCUCGUUAAGAAUGACCAGAUCCUUCAUGAAAUCCUCAAACUUCUUGAAGUCCUUGACGCCCAGCUGGCGACCCUCCUCACGAGCAGCAUCAAUCUGACCAGGCAGCUCCGCAGACUUCUUCUGCUCGGCUUCUAGUUGUGUGCCCAGCUUGGCCGUCUUCUUCUUCUCCAGCUCGCAGGCGGCCUGGGAUUCGGCGAGUUGCUUCUUCAUGGACUCCAGCUCAGUUUCGACAGCCUCGAGCUGGGUUGACAACUUGUUUUUGGCCGCAUCGGCUUGAAACAAGUUCUCGCCCAUAUUCUCAUACCUCUGCGAUAGUUCGGCGCCAGUAACGUUAAGCUACAAAUUAAGCACAAGGUCAGGACAAGCCAAAUGCAGAAUACGACAAAGUACAGUUAGUUCAAAGGAUUAUUUGAGCCGCGUUGAGGUAGUAGCUCUCCAGCAGUUCGGAGUUGGACGCCAACUGGUUGAAGUGGUGUCGCGUGGGAGCACUGUGCCCCUAAGGAUCUCCCGAGCUGUCUCUGAAAAUUGGGCUCGAUUAUUCACCGACAACCCCCACUUCGGACAGAAGUGCAGGGGGUGCGAGUGUGCGCUCAGAUCGGAUGGUGAUUUCAGAGGAAUCACGUUCCUUCAUCGCCACAUGGCUGGUAGUGACUUUGACGAGGCCUGCUGCUCUGCGGUGUUUACUCCGUAAUACCCGGGCUGAGCGGCGGAUUGCCCUUCUUGGGCGUGAGGAGAAGUCACCUUAGUACGGGCCCUCUUGGCUGUCGUCUUCUUUCUUUGCUUCUUGGGCUCCUCUACAGGAGACGACCGAGCCGCUACCUGAAGGAUAGGCACUAGUGGAGAAGGAGCAGCCACGCUAACAGGAACGGUGGAGGGCUCAGCAGCAGGCGUGCUCGAACUGCCAGUUCUCCCUAUGUUCAACAGUUGGGAGAAUCUCUUCACUACAGGACAAAGAGGAGAGGUCAGUUCGGACAACAUAGUUGAACUCAUAAAAAAGAAGGAGGAAUGGGGGAUGAGAUCAAGAAUUUACAAGCUGCCAGCUCCUCGGGGGUGAGAGGUCGAAGAUCAAGAGUAGGGUCAUUCACCCCUGCUCGAAUCAGCCCCGCGGACCAGAGAUGGACGUUGUUGAAUUCCUUCACCUUCAACCGAGCUCCCGAACUAAUCAGGCGGUUCAGCUCGGCUGCUGGCAGGGGCGAAGGAAUGGGGUCAGACACCUGAGUCUCCUCCCUCCAGGUCAAGGGAGGAAAGCCUUUGUUCUUCACAUAGAAGAACUAGGCCUUCCAGCCCUUAAUAAAGGAAGAAGCGUUCGAGAACAGCUCACGGGUUGAGAACUCCCCCCCCGCUCCUACGAGCGAAGUAGAACCAACCAUGGACCGGACCGCAGACCUUCAUUUGAAAAAAUGACUUGAACAGGUCUAAGGAAUAGGGGAUCUCGAGAACUCGGCACAAGAUAAAGAAGCCGAGGAUCGACCGAACAGCCUUAGGGACGAGUUGGAUUAUCCGAAUUCCCAGAAGGUCAGAAUUUGGUAAAAGAAGUGAGGAAUCGGAAGGCGGAGACCAACUAUGAGCUGAUCUCUGUAGAUGGCCAUAAUGCCUGGGGGAGGUCAGCUGGCGUACUAACCAAGUUGGGUGGCCCUGGCCUUGAACUAAGGAGGGAUAUCAUACCUCUCUACCAGCUCGUCUACAUUUGCCUGAUCUAGGAGGGUGGUAUUACCUUGACUUCCCCAAAGUCGAUGCCAUGCCCCCCAGAGGUUCCUACCCUGAUAUUAUGGGAGCUGCUUCCAGGGGAAUACCCUGAACAGCAGCUCCCUCAAUAGGCUGGGUAGGCUGGUUGGACGGGUUCAUGGCUCGGAUUGGUGAACGAAUGGGAGAAGGAAGAUAUUCAGAGUCAGACGAGCUGGAAGAAGAGGAGCUAGAAGAAGAAGAAGAAAUUAUUUCUAUUGGGGCAGGUCAGACUACUCUACGCCUAGGUGCUGAACUAGUGAUGCCUGAGUGUGUGGAAGAAGAUGACAUAAAAGGAAAAGAGAACUUACUAGCAGAUAAGGAAGAAGAGCCGGUAGGUGCUUAGAAGGGGACGCUACUCUCGAACGAACUCACUAAGCGUGGUGCGCGCUGAUGGAAAUUUGGAAGUAGAAGAAAUGAGAAAGGAAACUUGAAAGUGACGUCUGGUGGGGUCUAUUUAUAGACCACCCAAGCAGGAAGACAAAAAGCCCCGAAUUAAAAUUUCAAAUUUAUUACUAGAAAAUCGUCGCCUUUGUUGACAACCGCCAUCAUAAUGGGACAUGACCCUUGAAGUGCCAGUUACAUGAACAAACGUGUCAGUUACUCAGAUAAAGACAGCAAUCAUGGGAUCGUGGGCUCUGCUCCAAACUGACCCGUUGCCCCAAAAUUUGAUCCAGACUCAUGCGACCUUUCGAUGACUCUAGACUCAAAGGGGGGCGAGUGUAAUGGGGCCAAUUGACAGUCGCCACGUGUCAGCUAGGCCAUGGUGGCCCGCCAGCUCGGAUAAGCCAGGUUGGCUGGAGAGCACCAGCUCGCCCGACGCCGCUGCCUCUCUGCCAUGUGGGCCUAGUGGGCCGUGACCUCUGGACCGUUUGGAGUAUUACACGAAAUUCUAGAAAGACUCCAAAUCUUAGAGAACUCCGACUCCUAUAUGAAAACUACUACCCGCAAGCCUAUAAAUGUAGUUUCAUACGACGACAUAAGGUACGCCAUCUACAAUACUCUAUACUGUUACUUUACUCUCAAGCUCUCGUUGACUUGAUCGUCGGAGCUAUUCCGGCGACAUCAGUCCCGCCAUCGCUUUUCUUGAUAGGGCAGCUCACUCGCUCUCCCCCCAUCAGCUCGAUCAGCCCCAAUCUGCUCAACUCACCCAGCUCAGCCCAAGUCGCAUCUUUGGCAGUCGCAUCAGUAUCAAAAUGACUAAAAUGAAGGCUUAUUACCUAAUUCCUUGAAUGAAAAUUCUGAAUUUAUGCUUUCAACACUUGAAAUACAGAUAAAAAGAAGGAUACGAAAGCAGUCACUGCAGUCACAGUGGUUGCAGUAUCUUUAUUUAUUGCCGUCUCUCUAUAUUUUUGUUGGAAAUGGUGGGCUAAGCACAAAGUUGACAUUACUCACUUUAAUAUGCUCAAACUCUACUUAAUUAAUUUCUCAUGUGUUGUCAUUUAUAUUUAUGCAUUCACCUACCACCUACUCAUAAACAAGUAAAGACCAAGAUGAUCAGGUGUCUUUGUUUGAAGCUGCGUAUAAAGUGGAAAACAUGGUUAGCAAAACUGUGGACCGAGCCAAGUUAGAAGAGCUACCUCUGUAUACUUAUGAAACACUAGUAAUAGUUUACGUACUUUGCACGUGAUUGUAAUAUUUUAAAAUAUAUUAUUCUUUAGAUACUAAAUUUUUUUUAAUAAAAUUUUGUAAUCAAUAUCAUAAUAUAGCAUUUUUAUGGUAUUUAUUUUUUAAGCUAGUUACUUUUAAAAACUUUAUUAAAUGAAAGGAGACAAAAAGCAUUCCAAUGUAGUUGACUCCCUUAGGAUUGAAUUUGGAAUUAUGAACCAAACACCUUUUAAUUUAUAGUUUGAACUCUAACAUAUCAAAUAUUGAUAAUAUCAUGUUUUACCAAAAUUAUUGUAUAUUCAUGAUUCUAUUGCACAUAAACCACAAUCAUUACAAUUUUUUAUAAAUGAAGAAUAUAAUUAAGUUAGAAAAAUAAACAUACAUGUAAUUUGAAUUCUUUGUAUUAUGUUAAUUUUAUUUUUAUCAAUAAUGGAGUAUAAAUGAUCCACACGUAAAGUUUUUUUAGCUUAUACAUUCUGACAAUUAAAAUUUUAUAGAUAGAGAUAGUUGGAGUUUUUCUAUUUUUCUUUUCUUUUAUGCAUAUUUUUAGCACAAUCCAAUGCGGAGCAAAAGCAACAAGUCUACUUUUUUCAUAUGAGUACAAUAUUUUUGGUUUUAAUAAUCGUUUUUCUGAUAAUCAUGUAAUUGGAAUGAGAAUUAUCGCUAAUUAACAAUUUUAAUAUUAAUUUUUUAUAUAUUGCAAUGUUUUAUUUUUUAAUUGCCAACUUUUAAUCCAUAACCACUAUCAUUAUUAUCAAUUAUUGGAAUGCACUAAGUCUAUUUAAUUACAAUUGUCACCAUAAAUGAAAUUUACUUAAUUUUAAAGUUUUGCGUUUCAUAACCUCUUCCAUUAUUCACUAAUAUUGAAAUGCAAUAAAUAUAUGUAAUCAUUAGAAAAAAUAAGGGUAUUUUGAGCAUAACCAAUAACAAUUUGGAUAUCAUUUUAAGUUUACUCUUAUUAUAAUUUUUAUUUUAUCAUUAGAGAUGACUUCUAACUUGAUGGAUGGACUUAGUUUUCUCAAACCAAUACAAAUGAAGCAUUACUAUAUUAUUGCCAAUAACAAUGUUUGUCUUUCCCUAGAUAUCAAUAAUUGAAUGUUAUCUUUGGCAUUAUUUGAAUUGUAUUCUAGGUUUUUAAUUCAUUUGCUAUUUACUUUAUGUCAUUUUAUAAAUAGUUAUCAAUUUUUUUUAGUUCUUCUUGUUUUGAUCGGUUGCUAUUGAUGAUAAUAGUGGUUUGUAUGGUGCUAUGUUAUAUUUCUUUUUUUUCUAGUUUAAUACUGCUAUUUCAGUUUGAUAGGUUGCAUUUUAGUGGGUAUUUUGGGCAUUAUUGCACAAUUAAUUGACUAAAUAUUUUCGUUAAUUGGGUAGAUUCUACUAAUAUUUUGUUUUGGUGCUAAUUGCAGGAAUGGUUGCUGAAAAGUGUUUAAAUUCAACUUUUAGAAGAUUCAUCGGACGUGGGGCCCGUUUGAGAAGUUGAAGAAACCUAAUUGUAAUAGAUUUUAUUUUAAUAUAUUUCUAGGGAGUCCGGCUGCAAUUUUAAAACAAGUAACAAUUUUACGGCUAUUGUGGGGGAUUGUAUUUAUCUCUCGCGCGGCUUAGGUCAGGAGGGAGUUUUUUUUCUUUGGCUUUUGAAUGACACUGGGUGCCGCAGCUUGUAGGGGAAAAGAAAAAGAACAGAGAGGGGCGGCAGCUUUGUAGAGGAAAAAGCAGCAGAGACAGAGGGGCCACCAUUCUUGACUUCUGUACUUUUUCCUUUUCCAUCUUUUGUGAACUUUGAAAACUCAAGAUUUGGUUGACCGAAAUUGGAAGAUCAAAAGAAGCAAUUGAAACCUUUCUCUCGUAUGUUUGCUUUGUGAGGGACCAAUAUGAGCCGUUAUUGUUGACUUCGUAUUGGUUCUGCAUCUCUUGUUGACUUGGAAAUUCCGUGGCUUGUGAUUAGUCUUGACCGAGAAAUCAAGCAAUUGAAAGUUUUCCUCAUAUGCUUGCCUAACACCAAAAAGAAAGAAAGCAUCGAUGACCCUUCCCUACCUUGUACGCGCGGCCUGUUCACUAAUGGGGAACUAAACCCCUAAUUCUAGUCAAGGGGACUACUGACGAUUUGGUUCAGCAAUUACUGUGAGAUCGAAUUUAUUUUAACUAUUUCCUCCAUUUAUUAAUAUUUAUAUAUUUCCGGUUUCUAAUUGUUAUAGCCUUAUGUAUGAUUGGUUAGUGCGCAAUAAUUAAUUGUUUAUACAGGCUAUUUUGCUAUAUAUGGGUAAUUGAAUUCGUAAUUGUUCGUUAGCUCUAUCCCAGUAGCAACUGGCAUAAUUGGAUUUGUGUCAGGGGAAUAUUUGAUCUGGCUUGAAUGAACCCUCGUAGCGUGUUUGUUGGUUAGGAUUGGGCCUUUCUAAUUACUAAUGUAAUUUAGAAAUUAAAUCCUACGGUCGUACCUAGGGUUGUUUUUGGAUUAGAGAAAUAGCUAACGGUCGUACCUUAGCUAUCGAUAAAUUAAGGAAGGGUUGGUUGUUUAGCGCGUGCGAGACAACUAUAACCAAUCUAUUAAUAAAUGUUGAAAUUAUUUCUGCAUCAAUGAUCAGUGCAUGAACCAUUUCUGAAGUAUACCCUUGGCUAGAGUUUUCUUUCAGUUAUUCCUUUUAAUUAAUUAUUUUCUGCAUUUAAUUUGUUCAGUUGGCAUUUGAUACCAAAACCCCCCAUUAAUCUUGAUUUGAAAAGAAACAAAUAUCUCUCCAGUCUCUGAGGAGACGACCCUGCUUACCACUGUCUACUAGUUAGGGAAUUCAGUUAAAUAAUUAAUUCAGGUAUAUCGGAUUAAGCAAACUCUUCGGGAACAGGGUGAAUCAAGUAACCCAUUGCACACCUAGAGUCUCUGCUCCAGUACUCGAAUUGAUUACUGACUGUUUCAGGUGGUAGUUAGGAUUUAUUUAUUAUGAUUGCACAGGUUCGGCACCUGUCAAUUUUUGGCGCCGUUGCCGGGGACUGGCAUCAGAAUUAUUUGUUUCUUUUCGAAUUCAGUUUUUUUUAUUUAGUUCUUGUUAUUUUAUUUUCUUGGUAUUUUUGCUAGUUUAUGCCCCGUUCCUCUCGCACAGGUGAAUUAAUAUACGAUCCUGAGGUUGAGAAGGCAGCGCGUAGGCGAAGACAAGAAACCAAGAGACGAAAAGAAAGGUACUUAUCUUUUGCAAACGAGUCAGUAGAAAACGAAUUUAGCAUGACCAACACCCAGGCAUUAAGGGAGUUGGCUACCCCAGACCUGACUCAUCAGCUCUUGUGCAUCACGUUCCCAACUCUGGCUGAAAAUACCUCUUUCGAGCUGAAAUCGGGGUUGAUUCAGCUCUUGCUUUCGUUCCAUGGUCUCUCUGGCGAAGAACCCCACAAACAUGUCAAGGAAUUCGAAAUAGUUUGCUCUAGCAUGAAACCUCCUGGGGUCACUGAGGAGCAAAUAAGAUUGAGAGCCUUCCCCGUCUCUCUCAAGGAUGCAGCGAAUGAUUGGUUAUACUACCUGCCUGUAGGUAGUAUCACCACGUGGGCACAAUUGAAAAAGAAAUUCCUGGAGAAAUUUUUCCCGCGUCCCGGGCUGCAAGUUUGAAGAAGGAGAUUUGCAGCAUCAAGCAGUAUUCCGGGGAGUCAUUGUACUAUUUUUGGGAAAGAUUCAACAAGUUGUGCGCUAAAUGCCCACAGCAUCAGAUUAGUGAACAACUGUUGAUCCAGUACUUCUAUGAGGGACUCCAGUCAACUGACAGGAGUAUUAUUGACGCUGCGAGUGGAGGAGCCCUGGCGAACAAGACACCGAGGGAAGCGUGGGACCUUAUUGAAGCCAUGGCAGAAAACUCUCAGCAGUUCGGCUUCCGUGAGAGCAAUCCUACCCGUAGAGUCAAUGAGGCAGAGACGUCAUCCAUCCAGCAGCAACUGUCAGAGUUGACGUCUGCUGUCAGGCAAUUGGCCAUGAGAGACACACCGCGAGCGAAGGUGUGUGGAAUCUGUACUAGCAUGGACCACUGCACGGAUUCGUGCCCCAUUCUGCAAGAGGACGGGGCGGAACAGGUAAAUAUGGCCGGAGGCGUGCCCGCGCCCCGCUGGCAGUAUGACCCGUAUUCCAACACAUACAACCCCGGUUGGAGAGACCAUCCCAAUCUCAGUUAUGGGAACAGGCAACAAGGUUCAUUCCCGAAUCGUCCACCAGGAUUCCACCAACCUUGGCAACCAAAAUCUCAACGCUCAUCCUCCAAUUCAGGAAGCUCCUUGGAGGACCUAGUCAAAAGCCUGGCCACAACUACUACUCAGCUUCAUCAGGAGAUCAAAGCGGACAAGAAAGACCAAGAAACUCGGAUAAGCCAACUGGCAACCGCUAUUAACCGUUUGGAGUCCCACGUUUAUGAGAAACUGCCAUCGCAGCCUGAGGUGAAUCCCAAGAAUGUAAGUGCCAUGACGCUAAGGAGUGGCAAGGAGCUGGAAGGGCCUAAAGUGAAAAAUUCAAAAAGCAAAAGCGAGGAGGAGAUAGAAAAGGAAAUUGAGGUGGAAGGACGUGUUCGUGAGGAUCCUAAGGUAACUUCCACCUCUCCACUCACUAUUAGCUCUAACUUACCCCCUUUUCCUUGCAGGUUGGAAAAGAUAAAGAAGGUAGAGGAGGAAAAAGAGCUAUUGGAUGUGUUUCGGAAAGUGGAGAUCAACAUUCCCCUGUUGGAUGCAAUCAAGCAGAUACCGAAGUAUGCUAAAUUUUUGAAGGACUUGUGCACCCACAAGAGGAAGUUAAGGGGAGAUGAACGAGUGGCGGUGGGAGAAAACGUGUCAGCUAUACUCCAGAGAAAACUCCCACCAAAAUGUGGAGACCCAGAUAUGUUCACCAUUCCCUACAAGAUAGGAGGUACUCCAAUUAGGAAAGCAAUGUUGGAUUUGGGGGCGUCAAUUAAUGUUAUGUCUAAGACAAUUUAUGCUUCUCUAAAUCUUGGUCCGUUAAAAGGCAUAUGCAUUAUAAUCCAACUUGCAGACCGUACCAAUGCUUACCCAGAAGGGUUAGUUGAAGAUGUUUUGGUACAGGUUAAUGAGUUAAUUUUUCCUGCAGAUUUCUAUGUCCUAGACAUGGGGGAUGAAAGGGCACUAAAUUCGUCUCCUAUUCUGUUAGGUAGGCCAUUUUUAAGCACUACUAGGACAAAAAUAGAUGUAAAUGAAGGUACUUUGUCGAUGGAGUUUGAUGGGAAAAUUGUAAAUUUUAAUAUUUUUGAAACGAUGAAGUACCCAGAUGAGACUAACUCUGUUUAUGCUUUAAGUGUUGUCGAGCCCAUUGUACAGGAAAUAUUUGAAUUGGAUGGGGUUGAUGCACUGACGGUGGCAUUAGCCAAACAUCUUGAGUUGAGAGCAACUCCUGAUGUAGAAUUGAGUGAUGAGUUAUACCGGGCUGUUGGAGCACUGCAUUCGCUCCCACCAAUUUCUCCUAGGUAUGAGUUUACUUCUGUUUUUGUACCAGAAACUCAGGCAAAAUUGUUGCCUUCUAUUAUGCAGGGGCCUGAGUUGGAGCUCAAGUCUCUCCCAAAGCAUUUGAAGUAUGUUUUUCUCGGGGACAAUGAGACACUGCCAGUCAUCAUAUCUGCACACCUGUCACCAGGGCAAGAAGACAGACUAAUUCGUCUUCUUCGGGAUCAUAAGGAGGCAAUUGGGUAGAAUGUAGCAGAUAUCAAGGGAAUUAGCCCCUCUUUAUGCUUGCAUCGGAUCCGGCUUGAGAAGGAUGCAAAACCAGUGAGGCAUGCACAACGGAAAUUGAACCCACUGAUGAUGGAAGUGGUGAAGAAGGAGAUACUUAAACUCCUAGAAGUGGGGAUCAUUUUCGCCAUCUCAGAUAGUCCCUGGGUGAGCCCAAUACAAGUAGUCCCAAAAAAGGCGGGAGUAACAGUUGAAGAGAACCAAGAGGGUGAGAUGGUCCCGGUGAGGAAACCUAUAGGAUGGCACCAGUGCAUUGACUAUCGGCGUCUGAAUGCUGUGACAAAAAAGGACCACUACCCUCUACUUUUUAUUGAUCAGAUGAUAGAAAGGUUAGCUGGCCGUGUCUAUUACUGUUUUCUUGUUGGUUUCUCUGGUUAUUUUCAGAUCACAAUAGCACCAGAGGAUCAGGAGAAAACUACCUUCACCUGCCCCUUUGGUACAUUUGCAUAUCGGAGGAUGCCUUUCGGCCUUUGCAAUGCCCCAACAAAUUUUCAGAUGUGUAUGGUAAGUAUAUUUUCUGAAUAUGUAGAAAAGAUUAUUGAGGUGUUUAUGGAUGAUUUUAGUGUAUAUGGAGAUAGUUUUGAUGAAUGUCUGGAUAAUCUAGUUUUAAUUUUGAAGAGGUGCAUUGAGACAAAUUUAGUGUUAAAUUGGGAAAAGUGUCAUUUCAUGGUAGAUCAUGGCAUUGUUUUAGGGCAUGUAGUGUCGGCCAGAGGUAUAGAGGUUGACAAGGUAAAAGUCGAUAUUAUUUCUGCUUUACCUUACCCCGCAAGUGUGGGGGAGGUGCGCUCUUUUUUGGGUCAUGCAGGGUUCUACAGGAGAUUCAUAAAAGACUUCUCAAAAAUUGGAGCGCCCCUGUUCAAACUGUUGCAAAAAGAUGUAGCAUAUGACUUCACCGAAGAGUGCAAGGUGGCAUUUGACAGGCUGCGGAAGUCAUUGACAUCACCACCUGUUAUCCAACCUUCAGACUGAAGCAUCCCGUUUGAGAUAAUGUGUGAUGAGAGUGACUAUGCAGUGGGGGCGGUGCUGGGGCAACGGAUUGGCAGAGCUGCUCAUGCAAUCUACUAUGCAUUCAAAGCGCUGAAUGGAGCUCAACUCAACUACUCUACAACGGAGAAAGAAUUGCUAGUUGUGGUUUUUGCACUAGAAAAAUUUAGACCUUACUUGUUAGGUGCAAAAGUAAUAAUUUUUUCUGAUCAUGCAGCAUUGAGAUAUUUGAUGACAAAGAAAGAUGCUAAACCAAGGCUCAUCAGAUGGAUCCUGCUUCUUCAAGAGUUUAACUUGGAGAUUAAGGAUAAGAGUGGGGCAGAAAACUUUAUCGCUGAUCACUUGAGCCGCCUGCUUGCUCAUAAGGAGGAGCCACCAUUGAGGGAGGCAUUUCCAGAGGAGCAACUACUUGCUAUUAACUCGUCUGUACCCUGGUAUGCCGAUUUAGUAAACUUCUUGGUGACUAAUCAAUUGCCUGCAGGGUGGCCAAAGGCUAAGAGAGACAAGUUGAAGAGUGAUGCCAAAUAUUACAUUUGGGACGACCCGUACCUUUGGAGACAAUGUUCGGAUCAAGUGCUCAGGAGGUGUGUAAGUGCAGGUGAAUUUCACUCCAUUUUAAAUUUCUGUCAUUUGUUUGCAUAUUGAGGGUAUUUUGGGCCCAAACGAACAGCUCGCAAGGUGUUGGAGAGUGAUUUUUACUGGCCUACCCUAUUCAAAGAUGCUUAUUUAUUCUGUAAAUCCUGUGAUAGGUGUCAAAGGGUGGGGAAUAUUUUUCGUAGGGACCAAAUGCUUCAAACCGCCAUGUUGUUUGUUGAAAUUUUUGAUGUUUGGGGGAUAGAUUUUAUGGGUCCUUUUCCCUCAUCUUUUGGUUUCCUAUACAUUUUAUUUGCUGUAGAUUAUGUCUCUAAUUGGGUGGAAGCCAAAGCCACCCGUACUAAUGAUUCUAGAGUGGUUGCAGAGUUCUUAAAAUCUAAUAUCUUUGUCCGUUUCGGAAUGCCAAGAGCUGUAGUUAGUGAUAGAGGGACACAUUUCUGCAACAAGACUAUCACUGCCUUGUUUCGAAGAUACGGUGUACUCUAUAAGGUAUCCACACCGUAUCACCCGCAGGCAAACGGUCAGGCCGAAGUGUCAAACAGGGAAAUCAAGUCGAUCUUGGAGAAGAUGGUGCGUCCGGAUAGGAAGAAUUGGAGUUUAAAGCUAGAAAACGCACUAUGGGCGUAUAGGACCGCGUACAAGACCCCAAUUGGGAUGUCUCCUUAUAGACUUGUCUUCGGUAAGGCUUGCCAUCUUCCCGUGGAGUUCGAACACAAGGCGUUUUGGGCAGUGAAGCAGUGUAACAUGGGUUUAGAUGAAGCAGGGGUCCAAAGGAAAUUGCAGCUACAAGAGUUAGAGGAAAUAAGAAAUGAAGCGUAUGAGAAUGCCACGAUCUAUAAGGAAAAGAGUAAAAUCUUUCAUGAUCAGCAGGUUUCUAGGAAAACUUUUGUAGUGGGGCAAAAAGUCCUCUUGUACCACUCAAGGCUUAAAUUUUUUCCUGGUAAGUUGCGUUCUCAUUGGAUUGGUCUAUUUGUCGUUUCUAAUGUGUUCCAUUAUGGUGCAGUGAAGAUCCAAAGUUUAAAAAUGGAGAAAAAGUUCGUGGUGAAUGGCCAUCGUCUCAAACCUUAUUAUGAGGGUUUCUAUGUUGAAGAAGUAGAAGUUGAACACCUCCAAGAUCCACUUUAUCAUGCUUGAGGGUUUUGGCCAUGUCUAGCCAAAGACAGUAAAGAGAGGCGCUACUUGGGAGGCAACCCAAGACUAUUUGUUUCAGUUUUCAUGCAUUUUUGAAGUUUUAGAUAGGUGUGGUAGCAAUUAAUAGUUUGGUGUUUGGUGACAGGAAAGUGGCAUUUAGGCGUGCCCACGCCAGGUGGUCACGUUUGAGGAAAAGGGUUGGAAGGCGAUGUUCUGCGGACUCUAUAGCAGUUAGACGUGCCCACGCCAGGUGGUCACGCCUGAGGGGAAGAAAUUUUCGAUCAGAUUCUGCGGAUUCCGUAGCAGUUAGACGUGCCCACGCCAGGUGGUCACGCCUGAGGGAAAGAAAUUUUCGUUCAGGAUCUGCGGACUCUAUAGCAAUUAGGCGUGCCCACGCCUAAGACUGGGUGCUUCAAAGAAAAAAAAAAUUUUGAAAAGACACGAAACCCUAUUUUCUUUCUUCUUCUUCUUUCUUUUCUUUUUUUUUUUCCUCUUCCUUCUUCCUUUUCUUUCUUUUUCUCCACCUUCUUCCUUCUUUUCUCCAUGUCCACCGCCGCCCGCCGCGCCAAGCCCACCUAGCGCCGUGCCUCCUCCGCCAGCGAACAACCUCGCCGCACGCCGCCGCUCGCCUGACCAGCUGACCAACAUCGCUCGCGCCCCGCACGACCGCCUCGAGCAGCCCGCCGACGUCAAGCGCCUGCUGUUCCAGCACCAAAACAGCAUGGCCCCGCAGCCAUCGCAGCUUCCUGCGCAACCCCCGCGCGCGAGUUUCAGCACCAACAGCCAGGCGCGCCUCCUCUCGCAGUGCGCCUCCUCCGCGCAAGACCAGCACACAGCGCGAGCUCGCAGCAUCUCGCACCGCGCCACGACAGACGCGCGAUGCCCGAUCUCAGGCGCCACCCUCCUUGCACGCGUCCUUGCGUGCGAGCAGAGCUCCAGCUACCAUCAGGCGCGGCUUUUUUCUCCGCGCAGUCAAGCCCGGAAGCGAUCCUCCUCGCGCGAGCUAGAAUCUCGCACUCAGCCACGGCGUGCGCCAGUAGCAUGCAAGAAAGCCUGAGCGCGAUCCAUCCGCGCGCCUGCCCUGGCGCAUGCGACCCACGCGCGUCGCGCCUCAACCCCUGUGGCCGCACCAACUCUCCUCACUGUCAUCCACUGCCUCCUCCGAACAUCUGGUGAUUUCGUUCUUUAAUUUUCUGUCACUAAGUAGUUGAGGCCAGAUUACUAGCUUUUAUUAGCUGAUGCCAGAUUUUAAUUUCUUAGCUGAGGCCAGAUUUCUUUUAAUUUUGCUAACUGAUGACAGAUAUUUUGUGGUUGAUUUGAGUGCUGUGAUAUCAACUGUGGUUGGUUGACGACUAUUUGUUCAAUUUUGGGGUAGAAUCUGAAGUAAUUGGGGGAAUUCUUAUUUUUUUUCACGUUUAAUUAGUUUUUGGGUGAAGUUUUUAUUGUUAUUCUACUUAAUUGACUUUUGGGCUGUUUGGUUGCUAUUUGUUCAAUUGUUGGUGUUCGGAGCUGUGUUUGGGGACCCCUACUUUGUUGAUUAACCACCGCUCCAUUUUACCCAACUUCACCUUGACUUUGCCCUCUUUUCCAAUCCCCAAUGACUAAACCAAAAACCAAAAGCAAGAACAAGCCUUCCACUUCAACCCCUCAGCCUACGGUCCCCUUAGAGGGACCUGCCCCAUCGACUGGGCCUGGAGGGCCCCGUAUCCGCCUUGGACGGAAUAGGGAGGUUCAUAUCUGCUCUCCGGCCCAUUUUGGCGGUAAUUUGACCUUCACCCGGGCUGCCGACAAGGAGCGGUAUGUUUCGGCUUGCACAAGGAAGAUAAUUCCUUGUAAAUACAUCCAUGGCCCUACACUUGAUUUGCUAAACCUCAGGGAUGAGGUCACGCAGCACUUGACUAAUGUAGGUUGGACCCGCUAUGCUUCUAUCAAUCUACCUGCUUUUAUUGAACUCACAUGGAAAUUCUAUGCUACUUUUGAAUUUAAUAUUCCUGAUGAAUUCUCCGUUACCACUCCUGGGGUAGUGAGGUGUCGAUUAAUGGGUAGAGAGUUCAACCAAUCUAUCACUGAGUUUAAUUUGGCUCUUGGGUUUAUUGAUAUUCUCUACUCCUAGAGUGAGGAGUAUAUGCGCAGUGUGUGCGAGUACUCGGAGCCAUUCUUCUCGCAUUACCUUGAUUAUUGGAGCGACUUGUCGGUUGACCGACAAGUCUAUGACCCCAGUCAGUCUAAGGCUUAUUAUCUUAAGAGCGCCGCCUAUCGUUAUUUACAUAGAUUCAUGGCCUAUAGUUUCUCAGGUAGGAAGGAUAGCUCAGGUACUCUGACCAAGCCCGAGUUCUUUUUCGUUUGGUGCAUGGUCACUCGGACUAGAGUCAAUUUGGGUAGCUGGUUUGCCCUCCACCUCCGAACUGUGCUAAGUAAGAAAAAUAAGCCAUUAAUCUUAGGCUCCUUUAUUACUCAGUUAGCUGUAAAUUUUGGGGUUUUGGACUUGAGCAAUCAUAACUUACAUCGUGCUUGUAUUAUGGAGCCCCUUGAUUUGGUUUGUUUGGAGAAAAUGGGUCUUGUGCGACAGGUGAAUGGCGCUUUCCAGUUUGCUCCCCCGGGGCCAAUCUCCGUUCCUCCGAAGCGCAAAGCUUCCAAAUCCACUGCCCCGGAGGCUGGUGGUCCGUCCACGGAGGCCCCCGGACCAUCCUCUUCGGCACCUCCACCAUCUUCCUCCGUCGAUAGCCAGCUUGCAGCCCUCCGAUUCCAAAUGCAGCACAUGGACACUCGUAUGGAUCGGAUGGAGCGUCAAAUGGGCGGGAUGGCCCAGAAUAUAGCGCAGUAUCUCCAUCACGUGGGCUUCCGCCCGCCUUUUCCCCUACAACCAUGAUUCAUUUCUGCCCUCCUCCGUUUUCAAGGGAAGUGUCGUUGCCCGGUACCUUUGUUUUGAUCUUUCUUUGCUUACAUUGAGAACAAUGUAUGGUUUAGGUGUGGGGGAGGGUUGACUAUGCUUUGGUUGUGUUUUUAGUUGUCUGGUUAAGUUUUUCCCUUGCCUUAGUGGUUCCUUUCUUUAAACUGUGAUGAAUGCAAUUGAGAUAUGAGUGUACGUAGCAAGUUCAUGCCAUGGGGUGUUCUAUUUUUCUCGAUGACGAAUUGAUUGAUGAAUAUGCUGAACUUGACAUAAAUUUGACCACUCGUGCGAUUUUUGAGCCUAAUUUUUCGUUUGUGUGAGUGGUUAUUGCACAUGGUUUGUCAUUCUAGAACUUGCUCGGUUAUGCAUGUCAAGACCACAUUUAAAUGAAUUUAAUGCAUUGAAAUGAUAGGGCACCUAGGAAUGAGCUAUUUUUGGACUUUCUUAAAACCCACCCUUGGAUUAUUUACCAUUAGGGAGCCAAGUUGAGCUUUACAUCCUAUUUUUCGCUUGAGACCCUAGUUUUUAGCCGCAAAACCUCUCUUUAGACUUUCUUUUCGAACCUCAUGUGAAGAAGUGUUUUGAUUUCAUUAUACAGAAUUUUGAAGUAUUAUUUGGGAGGCAUUACGCCUAGCUAUGAGAGAAAAGAAAAAAAAAAGAGGAGGAAAAUGUGAAAAGGGGACAGAGUGCAGGAAAUCAGCGAGUAAAGUUGAUGUUUAUGCUGUACAGGAUUGAAUCUUGAAAAAAAAAAAAAGCAAAAGGAAAAAAAGAGGAGGAGAAAGAAAGGUCGAAGGUUGUGGCAAGUUCUAAUUCACUUCACUUGUGUUAUGGUUGAGAUGCCUUUAAAUUUCAAAUGUGCAAGAAUCUAUGUAAUGAAUUUCUGGACACUUUCUUUAUACUUUUGCACCCUUUUGACUCCUUUUAAUGCUACCUUCUCACCCUAGCCCCAUUACAACCUUGCAAGUCCCUUGAUUGCUGCAUUUAAAUUCAUGAGUAAGUGGUGGAGAUAUGAUAUAUGAGCAAGUUUAUGGUAGUGUCAUUCUAUUGUGUUGUUUUGAGAGCCAUCUUAUAUACAUUUCAUAAACACUUUGGAGUGAAUGAGUGCACUUUAAACUGCGAGAAUUGUUGAUUUGGUAUAUUCUGAUUUCGAUAAGGUUAUUGGGGAUCUUGGAAUGCCAUUCUUGGUACGAACUACUGUGAUUUGCUUAGCAUCUUGAUCGUACUUCUAAGUUAAUUAUGCUUGAGGGCAAGCAUAGUUCAGGUAUAGGGGAGAUUGAUAGGUUACAUUUUAGUGGGUAUUUUGGGCAUUAUUGCACAAUUAAUUGACUAAAUAUUUUCGUUAAUUGGGUGGAUUCUACUGAUAUUUUGUUUUGGUGCUAAUUGCAGGAAUGGUUGCUGAAAAGUGCUUAAAUUCAACUUUUAGAAGAUUCAUCGGACGUGGGGCCCGUUUGAGAAGCUGAAGAAACCUAAUUGUAAUAGAUUUUAUUUUAAUAUAUUUCUAGGGAGUCUAGCUGCAAUUUUAAAACAAGUAACAAUUUUUCGGCUAUUGUAGGGGAUUGUAUUUAUCUCUCGCGCGGCUUAGGUCAGGAGGGAGUUUUUUUUCUUUGGCUUUUGAAUGACACUGGGUGCCGCAGCUUGUAGGGGAAAAGAAAAAGAACAGAGAGGGGCGGCAGCUUUGUAAAGGAAAAAGCAGCAGAGACAGAGGGGCCACCAUUCUUGACUUCUGUACUUUUUCCUUUUCCAUCUUUUGUGAACUUUGAAAACUCAAGAUUUGGUUGACCGAAAUUGGAAGAUCAAAAGAAGCAAUUGAAACCUUUCUCUCGUAUGUUUGCUUUGUGAAGGACCAAUAUGAGCCGUUAUUGUUGACUUCGUAUUGGUUCUGCGUCUCUUGUUGACUUGGGAAUUCCGUGGCUUGUGAUUAGCCUUGACCGAGAAAUCAAGCAAUUGAAAGUUUUCCUCAUAUGCUUGCCUAACACCAAAAAGAAAGAAAGCAUCGAUGACCCUUCCCUACCUUGUACGCGCGGCCUGUUCACUAAUGGGAAACUAAACCCCUAAUUCUAGUCAAGGGAACUACUGACGAUUUGGUUCAGCAAUUACUGUGAGAUCGAAUUUAUUUUAACUAUUUCCUCCAUUUAUUAAUAUUUAUAUAUUUCCGAUUUCUAAUUGUUAUAGCCUUAUGUAUGAUUGAUUAGUGCGCAAUGAUUAAUUGUUUAUACAGGCUAUUUUGCUAUAUAGGAGUAAUUGAAUCCGUAAUUGUUCGUUAGUUCUAUUCCAGUAGCAACUGGCAUAAUUGGAUUUGUGUCAGGGGAAUAUUUGAUCUGGCUUGAAUGAACCCUCGUAUCGUGUUUGUUGGUUAGGAUUGGGCCUUUCUAAUUACUAAUGCAAUCUAGAAAUUAAAUCCUACGGUCGUACUUAGGGUUGUUUUUGGGUUAGAGAAAUAACUAACGGUCGUACCUUAGCUAUCGAUAAAUUAAGGAAGGGUUGGUUGUUUAGCGCGUGCGGGACAACUAUAACCAAUCUAUUAAUAAAUGUUGGAAUUAUUUCUGCAUCAAUGAUCAGUGCAUGAACCAUUUCUGAAGUAUACCCUUGGCUAGAGUUUUCUUUCAGUUAUUCCUUUUAAUUAAUUAUUUUCUGCAUUUAAUUUGUUCAGUUGGCAUUUGAUACCAAAACCCCCCAUUAAUCUUGAUUUGAAAAGAAACAAAUAUCUCUCCAGUCCCUGAGGAGACGACCCUGCUUACCACUGUCUACUAGUUAGGGAAUUCAGUUAAAUAAUUAAUUCAGGUAUAUCGGAUUAAGCAAACUCUUCGGGAACAGGGUGAAUCAAGUAACCCAUUGCACACCUAGAAUCCCUGCUCCAGUACUCGAAUUGAUUACUGACUGUUUCAGGUGGUAGUUAGGAUUUAUUUAUUAUUAUUGCACAGGUUCGGCACCUGUCACAGUUAUAAAGGUGUCAUCAUUUUUUGGUGCAAUAUGAAAAAUUCUUCAUCAUUACUAUAGACAAACUAUGAAUCUUGGAAAAAAAUGCACAAUUGUAAAAUUUGCUCGUGAUGUUUGUAUGAAGAUUUACAGAUGAAUAAGGAUUCUCUUCUCCUUAUAUGUUUCUCCAUUUUCUAGAGAAUAUCUAUUUUUUGACAUUGAUUUUUCUUUUACAAUCUCAACUAAUAACUAAUGAGAAAUUUUUCAUACUUCAAAUAAGAAAGUUUGAUACGUAUAAUAAUUGGAGAUAGAGUUUAAGGGUAGGUAGAUAGUUUUAAUUAUAAUUACCAAUACUAUUAAGAUGGAAUCAAUUGGAGUGUUUUAUUUCUUUUAAUUAGUGCCACAUUAAAAUGAAAUAAUUCUAAUUAAAAGACAUGAGGGUAAUUUAGGAAUAACAAAAAACUAAGAUAAAAAAGUGCUUACACUUACACUCCCUCGUACCAAGAUUCAUACUUUUUAUAUAGUAAUGAUAAUGAUAAUGAUAAUGACUAGCUAAAGCAGCAGAUAACUUUGAACAAUGCAAUGAGCUGGGCAAAGGUGGUUUUGGUCAAGUCUACAAGGUAAUGUAAGCUCCUCAUGGUAUUCCAAGCUGCUUGAAGAACUAAAUGAGUUGUUUGCUAGGAUUGGAACUUAAUUAUCAUUGCAUCUGCAGGGAAAGCUGUUAGAUGGCCAGGAAAUUGCAGUAAAAAGCUUGCAAACACUUCUGGCCAAGGCAUUGAGGAGUUUAUGAAUGAAGUUGUGGUCAUUUCUAAACUCCAGCACGAGAACCUUGUUAGACUCCUUGGCUGCUAUGCUGAAAGAGGAGAAAAUGCUAGUCUAUGAAUACAUGCCAAACAAAAGCUUGGACUUCCAUCUAUUUGGUUUGUUGAUGAACAUCGCUGCACGGGAAAUUUUCCGUAACACAUUAUACUAAGUCAUAUUGAUCUACGUCAUUAUUGCUCUUUCAGAUUCUAAUAAGCCAAGUGUACUCGAUUGGAAAAAACGCGUCACCAUCGUUGAUGGGAUAGGCAGAGGCCUCCUUUACCUUCACAGAGAUUCAAGAUUAAAAAUCAUUCAUAGAGAUCUAAAGGCAAGCAAUAUUCUCUUAGAUGAAGAGUUGAGACCCAAGAUAUCAAAUUUUGGCUUGGCAAGAAUUUUCGGAGGCAAUGAAGAUCAAGCCAAUACAAGGAGGGUUGUGGGUACAUAGUGAGUACAUGUCGCUCUCUUGUUUAAUUCAAUCAAUUCAUCAUGUCUAAACUGUUUUUCUUCCCCUUGCAGUCCUCAUAACUCAAACUAAUUUUUUACUCCUUUUGCAUAUAUAUAUAUAUAUAUAUAUAUAUAUAUGUAUGUAUGUAUGUAUGUAUGUAUGUAUGUAUGGUGAUGAACGUAACAUUGCCCCCGAAUAUGCAAUGGAAGGCAUAUUUUCAGAAAAAUCAGACGUCUACAGCUUUGGGGUGCUGCUAUUAGAGAUUGUGACAGGAAGGAGAAAUAGUAACUUCUAUUAUCUCGAGAAUGAGCUGAGUCUACUUGGGUAUGUAAGAUAAUACCUUCGACUAUGAAGAGUAUCAUAAGGGCAAAGUUCCUUAUCCCAUUCUUGCGUAAAGCAAAUUAAAUUCACUGUUUCAUUUUGCUUCCUCAGGCCUGGAAAUUGUGGAAUGAAAAAGAAGCAGUUAAACUGAUAGAUGCAGCUAUGUUUGUCCCGGGUAUCGAAAAAGAGGUCUUGAGAUACGUCCAUGCAGGGCUAUUGUGCGUGCAAGAAUUUGCAAAAGAUAGGCCAGGUAUGUCUUAUGUUCUAUCCAUGCUUAACAGUGAAAUUUCAAAUCUCCCUCUUCCCAAAUUACCGGCAUAUACAAGAAGAUUAGGAUCUUCAGAAAGUGAUUCUUCUUCGCAAAGGGUUCUAUUAACAAUGUCACUGUAACGAUUGUUGAAGGCCGAUAACAGAAUCCACUUCACAGCAUGCAAUACUAGUAAUGCAUUCAACAAGAUGGAUGUAGCACAACAUCAGUUUGCUUUGGAGGUAUCAGCAUACAAUCUGCUGCUUGGUUAUGUUUAUGCAUCUCAGUCUGACCAUAUAUUUGACAGCUUACUGGGUAUAAAGUAUAUAAAUAACUAUUUACUUGCUAUCAUGGACAGUUUUAGCAAUAGUCUCUCCUAUGAAUACUUUCUUCUAGUCUCUGUUUCUUAGGCUGACUUUAUGCAUCUGAAAUUAUUUUCUCAGAGAUAAGAGCAGAUUUCAACGCACAAUUUGGAUUAUUUGCAGAAAACCAAUUAGUUUCUGGAUGACGUAUUUGGAUGUCAAUGUCUUACCCAUGGUUCUAGAUUGGAUUUUUAGUACUUUUCCUAGUCGACAGAUAACUCAAUUUUAGGAAAUUUUUAUGUUCAUAUUUCUUUAUCUAUAUACGAAUUUGCAUGCUUGACUUAUGACCAUGUAUCACUUAGAACCACUAAGCUUGAAUAUGGAAUCCAAUAAUGUUAAUUACUUGAGAGUUCACCUUUACUUAUUUGCUUUGUUUGAAAGAAUCUAAAGUGUUACUGGCUUGUAAGUAUUUCAAUUCGUUGAUGUACAGAAGACUGGUAAAAUAAUAUUAAACAAAUAACCACUUUUUAAUUUUGGUUAUCUAUUUAUCAAUGUCCUAUUUUCCUUUGAUACACAUAAAUGGAGUCUGAAAAAUACUAGUGGCACUAAAAUCGUAAGCUUAAACUGAUUGACCAUGUUGUAAACUGAAGAUCAUCUUGGUGCUAUGGUCAAACUGAUUACUCACUUUAGGGAUCAUUGGUUUUUGUUAUGGAAAGUUCAUAUUCGGGAUGUAAUUCCUUUUUUGAAUGUGUUUCAUUUUGCAGGUUUAGAAUAUCAUUUCUUGGCUCUUAGAACGUUUUCGUAUGGCUCGAGCCAUUCUCUAUGAAGUUGAGAUGGUACUGCCUAUUUGUAUAUGUGAUAUUGUAAUUUUGAUGAAUAUUAGUGUAUACUGCGAGACUUGAUUAGUAUGUUAACUAAUGGAAGGUUUCAUUCAUUAAUACUCGAAGGAGUCGCUAGAUAAUUUGCUAUAAAUGAAUUUAUGUCUUUUUCUUAUUUCUUGAUGGACAUCAACUAAAGAGGCUUGCGAAUGGAUUUCUUUUAAGUUUUGGCCUUCCAAAAAAAAAGAAAAGAAAUAAAAAUAGAAAGAAAAGAGAAAAAAGAAAAAAAGAAGAUGUUUUUGUGACCCGCAAGUCCGCUAGUCACAAGGGUAGUGGGUCUAAUUUAACUAGUGGAUCCCAAUAGCACUUGUGACUAGCAAAACAUGACACAAAAGAUCUUUUGUGACUAUUAUUUGUAUGUCACAAAUAAAUUCUAGUUUUUUUGACUUUUUAUUACGUUCAAAAUACAAGUCAUAAAGGUAUUCUUACAAGUCACAAUUGAUAAUGUGACAUUCAUAUACAAGUCAUAAAAAUUUUGUGACUAUUAAAUCUGUGACUUUCAUAUACAUGCCACAAUAUAGUUACAAAAAGUUUUUGUGAUUGUUUAGAUCCUUUUUUGACUAUCAUUGACUAGUCACAAAAAUAUCCCAAACUAUCACUAUUUGGAUUGCUGAGUUUUGCAAAAACUAGUUUUUUAAAUACUAUUAAAAUUUUUAAAAAGUACUCUAAAAGAUACUCUAAAAAGUAGUUUAAUUUUUUUUAUAUUUAAAAAAUAUUCCAAAACAUAUUCUAAAAACUCUUAUACUUUUAAAUAUCCCAAAAUAUUUUCUAAAAAUAUCCCAAAAUAUACUAUAAAAAUUUUGCUACAGUUAAAUUUUUCAAAACACCCCCAAAAACAACUAAUCUAAACGGACAUUUUCUAGUAGUGAAACAUGUUUUGCAGGAUUAAUAAAGUCUUCAAUGUCUAGGAUCCUAAUGGCUAGUAUGUUGAACUUUUUGGACUUCAGUAAAUCUUGUAAAGUUUUCAUUGUGGGCAUAACAUUGGCUAAGAAAUUAUGAUGAACUAAAUUAAUCAAUUGUGAGCCGCACAAAAUGUUGAUUACAUAAAAAAGAAAUUAAACCUUUACUAUGCAUUGUAUAAUUACAAAAACUCGGAGAUUACAGAAACUCAAAGAUGGAAGAUUAUCAUAUUUUACCGCGGUUGUAAGUUGUAAUAGUAAGAAAGCAAUUUUCUAUGAUGUGUCAAGCCAGUGCAUAAAACCAAUAAAAAAUAAAUUGAUUUUUUUUCUUGUUAUUAUUUGUCUAUGACCUUUUAUCUAGUCAUUAACUGGUAUUUUCUUCUAGCAAAUAUAUAUGAUAUAGUUAACUUCUGUUAUCAUUAAAUAAAAAAAAGGGGCACCACAAUAAUUGAAGAUAAUUUUUACAUAUAAUGAUUUGAGAUAGGAGCAAGGGUUAGUGAAUAUAUUUUUGGGUUAAUCACAUUUUAUCCCCUUAAAAAAUACCCUAUUUCUCAGUUUACCCCCUAACCUUUAAUUUUGCUCACUUAACCUCCUUUAGGACAGAAUUGCUCUUGUAUUAUUUUGACUUUUCAUUUGCCUUGUUUUCCUUUCUUUUAUUUUAUUUUCUCUUUCUUCUAUUUCUUUUUCUCUUUCUUCUUUAUUUAAUUCUUCCUCUUUCCUACAAAAAUCUUCACCUUAAUGAUUGAAAUUAAAAAAGAGAAAUUGCAGAGAUCUAUCUUCUCCUUAAAUGAUUAAAAAAAUAGUCAAAUCAUUUUCCUAAAAUACAAUUUUUUUAGCCUUUCAAUUCUUUUAAUUUUGGAUUUUCCUCUUUCCUUUCUAAUUUCUCAUUUUAUUCCCAAGAAAAUAUCUUAAAAUGAAAUUGUGACCUGAUUAAUAAUCAUCAAUUGAAAUUUGUGGCACGUGGCAUCAUACAAAAAAUCAAAAUUAGUUUUUAAUACCUUUUAAACUUUCACCCAAAAAUAUGCAAUUACAAACUCAAAACAAAAAUUUUCGUUGAAAUGGAAUUUCUAUUGGGAAGAAUGAAAGAGAGAAGAAAGAGAGAAAGAAAGGAAAACAAUUUCAUCUUAUGAUAUUUUCUUGAGAAUAAAAUGAGAAACUAGAAAGGAAAGAGGAAAAUCCAAAAUUAAAAGAAUUGAAAGGCUAAAAAAAUUAUAUUUUAGGAAAGUAAUUUGAAUAUUUUUUUAAUCAUUUAAGCAGAAGAUAGAUCUUUGCAAUUCCUCUUUUUUAAUUUCAAUCAUUAAGGUGAAGAUUUUUGUGGGAAAGAGGAAGAAUUAAAUAAAGAAGAAAGAGAAAAAAAUAAAAGAAAGGAAAACAAGAUAAAUGAAAAGUCAAAAUAAUGUAAGGGCAAUUUUGUCUUAAAGGGGGUUAAGUGAGCAAAAUUAAAGGUUAGGGGGUAAACUGAGAAAUGAAGUAUUCUUUAAGGGGAUAAAAUGUGAUUAACCCUUACAUUUAUUAUUGAUAUGUAAUCAAUUGCAAUUUUUUUUCUUGGUUAGUGUCACAUCAAAAAUGAGACGCGUUUAACUCUAAUUAAAAGACAUGAUGGUAACUUAGGCAAAACUGGACAUAAUAUGUAACUUUAAUAAUCAAUUAUAAUAGACUAAUUAGAAUACCAGAAAUUAAAACUACAAAAAUGUAUACACUCAGAAGUGCUAAAACUCAUGUUACUUUUAUAAUAGUAAUUUGCUGUAUUAUAGGAUUUUACCUAAAGAUUAGUUCAUUGAGUUGAGUUGGUCAGCUUCAAUAAUGAUGGCGGACAAAUGGUAAUUGGAUCUUGAUUCCGAGUAAAAGUGCAGUCUAACUGGGACCAUAUGUUAUUAAGCUGACUCUACCUCCCUCAAAUACUGAUAAAGCUCUAAAAAAAUUUAGUUUAUCAUAAUCAAACACAUGGAUUUCAUCAUGCAUGAUGGCUUCAUGUAUUUGACAAGAGCCACGAUUGGGUUUAAUUUUCUUAUGCCAUGACUUGGUCUCAACAUCUAGGAAGAAUGCAAAAUCUUGUAUUGCCGUAUUAUAUUCCCAGUGUAAAAAAUUUGUGGAGGGAAUGAAAUGGAGUUAGAUUGUUAGAUUGUUCAUCAUCAAUGAUAACUUCUCAAUCACCAAUGAGGGGAUCCCUUUUUCUACUACUUGCUUGCUUCUGUUUAGAAGCUUGUACGGCGGUGGAUUAUAUAACAAUCACUCAGCCUCUGCAGGACUCCAAAACUAUAGUUUCUUCAGGCCAAACUUUCAAAUUAGGAUUUUUCAGUCCUGCAAAUAGUAGUGAUCGAUAUGUUGGAAUCAUGUUCAAUGUUCCUGCAGUUGCAGUAGUAUGGGUGGCUAAUAGAGACAGACCAUUAAAUGAUUCAUCAGGAACUCUGACAAUCUCAGGAGACGGCAAUCUUGUGGUCUUGAAUGGGCAGAAGGAGAUACUAUGGUCAUCUAACGUUUCAAAUUCUGUGGCAAAUUCUACUGCACAACUCUUGGAUACUGGAAACUUGGUUUUGACAGACAAUUCCAGUGGAAGAACUCUGUGGGAAAGUUUUCAGAUUCCAACAAACUCAUAUCUACGGUGGAUGAGAUUAAGUUCAAGUACGAAAGGCCAGAAAAUCCGAUUGACCUCUUGGAGAAGUCCUUCUGAUCCAUCUAUCGGAAGUUUCUCCCUAGGUGUCGAACCCCAGCAAAUUCCACAACUCUUCCUUUGGAAUGACAAUAAACCUUAUUGGCGCAGUGGUCCAUGGAACGGCAAUGUCUUUAUUGGAAUUCCUGGCAUGGAUCUAGUUUAUCUAAAUGAUUUUAACCUGGUAACGGAUGAUUCAGGAUUGGUGUCUGCUACCUUCACGUAUGCAAAUGAUACUGCUUUGUUGUACUAUGAAUUGAGUUCCUCAGGGUCUAUACUGCAGAAAUUUUUAUCAGAUAGAAAAGGGGAUUGGGAGGUUACAUGGUCAAGCCCAAGAAGUCCAUGUGAUGUCUAUGGCAAAUGUGGACCUUUUGGAAGCUGCAAUCCUCAUGGUUCACCUAUUUGUACAUGUUUGCAAGGUUUUGAGCCUAGAGAUAAGGUGGAAUGGGAAGGAGGAAACUGGACUAGCGGUUGC
rnacentral:lncRNA from 1 species